AAAGAUACCGAUGAUGAUGGCAAUAGAAUUAACAGACUUUGACAAUGAAUUACUUUUAGAAUUUCAAGAUACUGAAAAAUGGGGCCAAGUUUGGAGUCUUGUUUGCACAGCUGCUCCAGAUGAUAGUGCCAGUACAGCUGUAAUUCUUUUAUCAUUGCCAACUUCCCCGCAUGUUUCUCUAAGCAUCCUUCCAUCGAAAAUAGCUCUUCGUGGGAUGGAAAAAAAAGCAGUGAGAGCAUUUCGAGAUUGUGAAAUCUCUCAAGUACGUUCCAGAUUGGAAAACAAGCUGAGUCAUCUGCAGCAAUCUCUAGUUGUCUAAGACUGCCAAAAAGGUGUUGUGGGAAAUCGGCCUGCAAAAUCAUCUUCACAUCUUUUCCACUUAGUGAUAGUUCCUUCAAGUUGGGUACGAUCUGAUCAUCAUUAAUCAUAAUAACUAAUGAGGUCAAUUGAUGAUCUACGGUAACACGCAGUGACUUUAUAGUAUUUGUUUUAUAUUAUAUGUUAAAAAAAAUUGAAUUAUUGAUAAAAUUUAUUUUAUAUGUUAAUUUUAGAGGUAAAAAAGAAAUUAGGGAAAAAAGGUUGAUUUAUACUGGCUNNNNNNNNNNNNNNNNNNNNNNNNNNNNNNNNNNNNNNNNNNNNNNNNNNNNNNNNNNNNNNNNNNNNNNNNNNNNNNNNNNNNNNNNNNNNNNNNNNNNNNNNNNNNNNNNNNNNNNNNNNNNNNNNNNNNNNNNNNNNNNNNNNNNNNNNNNNNNNNNNNNNNNNNNNNNNNNNNNNNNNNNNNNNNNNNNNNNNNNNNNNNNNNNNNNNNNNNNNNNNNNNNNNNNNNNNNNNNNNNNNNNNNNNNNNNNNNNNNNNNNNNNNNNNNNNNNNNNNNNNNNNNNNNNNNNNNNNNNNNNNNNNNNNNNNNNNNNNNNNNNNNNNNNNNNNNNNNNNNNNNNNNNNNNNNNNNNNNNNNNNNNNNNNNNNNNNNNNNNNNNNNNNNNNNNNNNNNNNNNNNNNNNNNNNNNNNNNNNNNNNNNNNNNNNNNNNNNNNNNNNNNNNNNNNNNNNNNNNNNNNNNNNNNNNNNNNNNNNNNNNNNNNNNNNNNNNNNNNNNNNNNNNNNNNNNNNNNNNNNNNNNNNNNNNNNNNNNNNNNNNNNNNNNNNNNNNNNNNNNNNNNNNNNNNNNNNNNNNNNNNNNNNNNNNNNNNNNNNNNNNNNNNNNNNNNNNNNNNNNNNNNNNNNNNNNNNNNNNNNNNNNNNNNNNNNNNNNNNNNNNNNNNNNNNNNNNNNNNNNNNNNNNNNNNNNNNNNNNNNNNNNNNNNNNNNNNNNNNNNNNNNNNNNNNNNNNNNNNNNNNNNNNNNNNNNNNNNNNNNNNNNNNNNNNNNNNNNNNNNNNNNNNNNNNNNNNNNNNNNNNNNNNNNNNNNNNNNNNNNNNNNNNNNNNNNNNNNNNNNNNNNNNNNNNNNNNNNNNNNNNNNNNNNNNNNNNNNNNNNNNNNNNNNNNNNNNNNNNNNNNNNNNNNNNNNNNNNNNNNNNNNNNNNNNNNNNNNNNNNNNNNNNNNNNNNNNNNNNNNNNNNNNNNNNNNNNNNNNNNNNNNNNNNNNNNNNNNNNNNNNNNNNNNNNNNNNNNNNNNNNNNNNNNNNNNNNNNNNNNNNNNNNNNNNNNNNNNNNNNNNNNNNNNNNNNNNNNNNNNNNNNNNNNNNNNNNNNNNNNNNNNNNNNNNNNNNNNNNNNNNNNNNNNNNNNNNNNNNNNNNNNNNNNNNNNNNNNNNNNNNNNNNNNNNNNNNNAUAUAUAUAUAAAGAAAAUGUUAGCCUACGCACCUUCUCGUUGAAAAGCAGAGUUGAAAUGUCCAAAGUGAUUUCGCUGGAGCAAUACAUAGUCGUCGAUUCCUCUUGUGACACUUGUCUGUUCGGUGAUGCAGAAGGAGUCUCCACCUCACGGCGGCAAAAACUUGUAACCUCUGGAAGAUUUCCCACACUCAAAGAUCUUAAUUGAGCAAACUCUAUCUUCUCAAUUGCAUUAUCAACUUCUUCCCCAAUUGCAAAAAUCUCUUUCAUCUUGCUGCAAUUAAUAACUGCAAUUCUCUCAAGUCUUGGAAGGCAUUUUGUAGUAGAGAGCCAAAAGAUAUUACUCAACUUAUCACAAUUAUAUACUUCUAUGUUUUUGAGUUCGUUGAAAGACUCUACUUUGAGCCGAUCAACACAUAUCCUCUCCAUGUUGAUCAAAUUGUGAAGGAUAAGUGACUCCAAAAGAGGAAAGGCAUCACAAGCGACCAUCUCCCUUGAAUCGACGAUGCAAAAGAAGUCUGGAUUAUUUUGAACCCAGAGAAUCUUCAAUUGUGAAAAGCCCUCCGUGUCCAAAUUGAAAAGAACAUUCUCGAUGCCUUGCAGCUUGUCCAACCAUAAGCAUUCAACGUUAUUGAUGCCCUGCAAUUUCAUGGAGCAAAUGUCCAUAAAAUCAAGCUUGAGCUUCAAUGCUCUUGAAAUCUUACGAUCUCUGUCGAUCAAAAAGUGCUGCCGACUUUUAAACCAAUUUUGUCCAGCAAUCAUGGGAUGUGUGAAUAACCCAUUUCCAAUAUGUAUUUGGAACCUUUCGAGCUUUCUGGCCAAAAAGCCUUCUGGUAAAAUACUAUCAUUUUUAACAUCAAUUUCUAGAGUGGUUAGCCGAGGUAAAUGCAUCAAUUCAUCAAGGCUAGCAUUACUUCUUUUGCUGUUGGCUCUUUCAACCUCCCAUUCAAUGGAGCAAUUACCCAUAUACAAUUCUUCUAAUCGGAUUAAGCUUGAUAUGACAUUUGGGGCAAUAACUUUCAGACGGAAACAGUCUGUUAAAUCUAACAGCCUUAGCUUAGUCAGUUGACCCAGUGCUUUAGGCAACUCUACAAUAUCAGAUUCCAAAAAGCUGAGGAUUUCUAGAUUUUCCAACUUUCCAAUAAUGGCUAUGUCUAUGCCUCCCAAAAUGCUUUGAUUAAGACAGAGUGCCUGAAGAUUUACUAGAAGACCAAUUGAAGAUGGCAAUGACAAUAACCGCAUUCUUGUCAAAUCCAAAACCCGAAGCUUUUUCGUCCUUUUGAAGAAGUUCUCAGGAAUAUUAGGCACAGCAAAAGAGUUCUUGGGAGACAUGAGUAGAAGUUCAAGUUGUAGAGAUUCGGACCCAUCAGGAAUGUCAUUAAUAAUACUAUCUUUUAAAGAAAUUGCAAGAUAUUUUUUUAAUUCAUCUGCAUUUGGCCAUUUCCAAUCAUCCUCAUUUCUCACCACAAAUCCAAUUUUGUCACGACAUGCAAUUGAAAUGGCAACAUCGCGAACAACAUCAUGCAUGGAAAAUAAUUUACUGCUACCAUCCUUAAGCAACAAACAAGAGUCUCUUAGUUGAUUGACCCAUGCAUCUAAUUUGUUAUGUGCAUCUUCUAGCUUAUGGACACUUUUAAAUACACCCAAGCCCAUGCUAUAUUUGAACAAGUCCAUAAUUGGUGCUGGCGUAAUAAGACUACACAGUAAAAAAGUUUUCUUGAGUUGCUCACCUCUUAAGUACUUGUAACUCAGCUCAAUUGUUGAGUAUGCCUCUGCUGGUACUCCUUCGUCGAAGCUUGCCUCUGAAGGCGUUUGGAGUUCUUGCAAGGCAUUCUUCCACACAGGCAGCUCUUUUUUUCUCAGUGCCUUUGCUACUGUGGUUAGGGCAAUAGGCAAACCUCCGCAUGCCUUGGCUACACUUGUUGCUGUAGAUUCUAAUUCACGAUUUUCCACAUAAUCACCUGCCAUUAUCUUGAACAAUCUCCAGGCUUCUUGUUUAUUUAAAAUGCCAAUCAAGAAGUUUUUUUCAGAUCCCAUCCUUAACAGCACAUCAAGAUCUCUUGUUGUGAAUAAUAAUUUACAUCCUCUGUGCUCAACUCCAAAAGGAAUGCCAAUAGUCCCCAAAUCAAGAGGUUUCCAGAUGUUAUCGAGAAUCACAAGGAUCUUCUUCUCAUUCUUCAAUCUUUCAUAUAGUCUACUAGCUCUUCUAGACUCAGCUUCCUCGGACAACUCUAGGCCUAACGUUUCCGCAAUUUCCUCUUGGAUCUUUCUUAUGUCUGGACAUUGGGUAACCUCCGAAAAAACCACCAUAUCGUAAAGCUUGUCUUCAAUGGCUCGCCUUGCAAACUCCUUCACCAGUGUCGUCUUUCCAAUGCCGCCCAUGCCGUAGACCCCAAUGAUGCUGACAUCAACAUCGAUCAAUGCAUUUUGUAUGGCCUUCAAAGUAGAAAGUCUUGAAUCGAAGGCUUCGUAGCCUUUGUGAGACUUGAGCCAUAUAUCCUCCGGAAUGGUACGGUAGGAAAUUCCAUCAACAAAUCUCCCAGCUUCUUCUCGGAGUUUAACAAUGGCCUUCACCUUUGUUUCUGCUUUCUUGCUAAGCUGAUAGCGGGUCUUCAAAUUAGGACACAAGCCCAUGAGACAUCGUUUAUUUGUUGUCUUCUCAUCAUCAAUGAAUUUGGCUGCCUGCUCAAUGAUGAUGUUCGCACUAACCAGCCACUUCUCAACCUUCUCUUCAAUAUUUUCCCCUUUUCUUUCAGCCUCAGAAACCUGGAAGCGGAGAAAUGAAAGAAAGAGUAAAAGCUGUUAUGGAUCUGGUGAGAAGAUGGAAACAAGGAAAAAAUUUCUAGUUCGAGAACUGAUUGAAUUAAUAUAAGGAAUGAUUUAGAUAAUAGAGGCGAAGGGAACCAAUCAGAAUAACUGAAGUAUUGACCAGCAGAAAGACGGAAAAAAUAUUGACUGGUAAUAGAGAUGGAAAAAAUGAAGAUAUCUUGACACGGUAGAAGUACAAAGGGUAGAUAUGGAACCAAACAGAGACAACAGCAGACCACAACAAGAUUGGGAAUGGACAGAAACUAAUUAACAAAGACUGGAGAUUACAACAAAACAGAUGCCAAGAGAAAACUUGAUCCAGUGAAAUUCAAGAGAGCUGACAACAAAAACUGAUACUACUUGAUUGGGAAUUGAAGGCAAAGAGUAGGAGCUGAUGAAUACGGGGAUCAAGAGGGAAAAACUGCUUGCUCGUAAAACUACUUUCAAGCGAAUCUGAUAAAAUUAUUUCAGUACUCGUGGGCGACUCCUUUUUAAACUGCAGAAGGAGAAAAAAGAAAUGUUCUGAAUUUCAAUGUAUUAAUUUUUAUCCUAAUUUAUGUUGAGACUCGUAAUCUCGUCUCAAUGAUUAAUUAGUAGAUAAUCUUUCUAACAAGUAUGUGAUGAAUAGAUAUAUUUCUUGACUAUUAGUAGGUUAGAUAUAUUUUAGCAUAGGAAUGAAAGUACAAGUUGUGUCAUAUUAGAAUACAAAUUUGACCUAAAAAUAUUGUUCUAUGACCUUUUAAUUAUUUGUCAGCUAAUAAUUAAGUCAUAUAAAAAAAAUAAUAAUCUGAAUUAGUCUUUAAGUAUUAUAAAUAUUUCUUGAUUUUUAAUUAUAAUAUCAUUAUUUAAAAAUAAUUGCUUGACUUACAUAGUAAGUCAAUAAAAUAUCUAACAAUAGUGGUCAUAAAACAUGUGAUCCUCAAUCAAUGAAAUAUCUAACAAUAUCAUCACCUAAAGUUUGAGAUAUGUUAUCCUUAUUCCACUGCGUCAAUUACACUCCAGUCAAAUGCUGCCAUCAUUAUUGAACAGUCGACAUCCACCAGUUCUAAUUGCCAAAACUUAGAACUAAACAGUAGCUCGGUCAGAAAAUCAAACGCCAGUACCGGUCAAAUGACCGAUAAAAAUAUAAAGAAAUAAAAAUUUUAAAGUUUUACUUCAUUGCUUUUUUAAUCUUAUUACUAUUUCGGGUAAUUUUUACUUUCCUCCCCUCAGCUUUGGACUUUUUGCACUUAGAUGGUCAAGAUACAUUUAUCAGUAAAGACCUCCCUACCGUCAGUUAAUUUUGUAGUUGACUGUUAGUUGAAUUCAAAAAGACUGAAAUACCCCCAAUUGGAUUUUCAAGACUGAACAUGCUAUACAUUUGGCGCGAAAACUAUAACAACCAUAAUAUUACCAUUAUACCCCUUCAAAUUGGGUUAUUUACAAUUGCAUUCAACAAAUAAAAUGAUAAUUCUAUUUGGGUAAUUUUCACUGUUGCAAUUUGACCGUUGGAUCCGAAUGGUCACAUUGCCACAGAUUUGCCUAUUUAAAGGCUUAAAUACAGAGCUUUGUUCACAAGCAUCUCUACCUCUUCUUAACACUUUGCAAACUCAACUACAUUUCUCUCAAUCUUUCAAUCUCAACAACAUGGAUUCAGAGGGCUCAAGUGCAGUAACUAACAAGAAGAAUAGAUAUAAUAAAGGCAGUAUGAAAUGGAGGAGUCAAGUUAAUGGAAAUCUGAUCAAGUUUAGGAACUUGAAAUGCGAUUGCAGAGUACGUGCUGCUGUUCGAAUUUCAGAGACUGAAGAUAAUCCAAACAAGCUAUUCUACAACUGUCCUUAUGAUGCCUGUGACUUUUUCCAGUGGUGUUGUCCAGAACCAAGUGAUUUCGACAAUGGUGCAUUCUUUGAAGGUCAUAGAAGUUUUACAGUAGCACAACAACAAGUGCAGGUAGAACUUGAAGAAAUACUAAGUGCCCUGAAUGAAGUGAAGAUUAUACUGAAAAAAACUUAUCAAACUCAAAAUGUUUGUGACCAAGACUUAAGUGAUGUGCAUAAACUCACUUCAAAGAAAACCGAACAAGGUGGGGUGAUAUGUGGGCUGCUGAAGGCUGUGCUCUGUUUGAAUGCCUUUUUUUUUUACUGAGUGUUCUUGUGGUUAUUUUCCUGAAGUGAUUAACCUAAAUUACUAGCAUGAAUUUUGUAAUAAGUUGUACUCUAACUACUGGAAUGAGUAAUGAUAAGAUGAAAAUUUAAUGAACUUGUAAUGCUCUAUUUUUAGAAUGCUUAUCUUUGCUAACUAAGUGUAUAUAAUGUGAAGUAUCCUGUUUGAUUUGAGCAUAUGGCCUAGUCUUCAAUACUGCAUUUCCUAUGUAAUAACUUAACAUAAGCAUUCUGUACAUAUAGCUAAAAAUUAAAGGGAUUACAAUACUUUAGUUAUAAUAAUAUCUAUUAACAGUAGCAAAAUUAACUUGUGAGUUAAACUUUAACAGCAACAAGCAAACCAAUCCAGAACGAGUGAGAAGAGAAUCUAUUAAUUGCAUUCCAGCAUUAAAAUUCUUAAGCAGUAUCAUACAUAGUUACAUUCAAGCAGCUGUCACAAAGCAUGAAGCAGUUGAAUAUAAAUAGCUUCUGGUAAACUCAUGUAUAAUUUCCAGGUAUUAACCAAGCAAGCUUAUCAUAUUACUUGUCUUUGGCAUCACAAUAAUAUCAUGUACAAAAAACAAACUAACAAAAGGCUCAAACCUAUAGUCAGUCUGAGUAAAAGAUGAUACACCAGCUCCAUUCUUCUGCCCAUGACAAGAUGUUGUAUCAUCUGAUCCCUUCAAAAAAUUAGUUAGUGGGAAUAGUCUUGAUCUGCUUCUCAUGCUGGAUGCUAUCACUUUAAUGGUUUCAUUCUUGAGUAACAUGUCCUGGCAUGAAUAAAACAAACACUUACAUAUGAAAAUUAAAAAAAAUAGAUGUUGAUUACUAAAAUUAUUUAAAGAAUCGUGAAUAAAACUCACCAUUGUCAUGGACAGUAGGCUGAGAUAGUGCACUGCAAGCAACCCUUUGAGUUAUAGGCUGAUUAGAAUUAGAAGUGCCUUCACCAUUCACAACCUAUGCCACACCCAUUACAUCAUAAGCAAUUAAAUUAAUUAAAUUUAACUACUAAAUGAAAGAGAGAUGAUAAUUAACCUGUUUGCUAGAUACUUUAGUUCUUUUGCAGGUUCUCUUGUUAUGACCCCAAUGCUCACACUUAGAACAUUUGACACUUGAACUCCUCUUGAAUGUAGCUGGUUCAUCAGCUUCUUUCCUCCUCUUGAUCUGUGGCCGGCCAACAGACUUGAUAAUUAUAGGUGGCUGCAAAUUAUCAUGUAGAACCAGUGGCCACAUCUUCUCAUCAGGUAAAGGAAAGUAUUGAUACUUGUAGGUGUUGAUAAAAGCUGGACAUUUCAGAUAAUUAUGGAUAUAAUCUUCAAUGUUGAGCCUUUUUGCAUCAAUGGAACAAACACUAUGCUUACAAGGUAAGCCGGAUAUCUGCCAUUCCCUACAAUUACAAGUUUUUUUACCUAAAUCUACUACGAAUACUUUACAGAGAUCUUCCAUCACUUCGAAGGUGUUUUCAUGACCAAAUAUUACUGUUAAACCUCUCGCUGCAGCUCUUGCUUCCACAAUCUUUCUCCUAACAAGAGGUGGUAGAUGUCCAUUCCAUUUCUUUGCAUCCUCAUUCCUUUUAUGAAUAAGUUUCAUGAUCUUUCUCCUUAUCUCUUCGAGCAUCCUAACAAUAGGCAUGCCUCUAAAACUGUUAAUCCAGUUAUUGAACGAUUCAGUCAUGUUAUUGGUCACAUGAUUGCACUUGGUGUGGUUAGGAAAAGUGUGUUUAGCCCAAUAUACAGUUGGAAUGUUCAUGAGCCACCGGUGAGCUGCAUCGCUGAUUUUCUUCAAUUCCUCAAUGCUUUCACUGAAUUCUGAGUAGUUUGGACUUCUACAUGCCUUCCAAAAGACCUUUUUCAACAAAGUGCCAGGAAACUUUUGCUUGAAAUUGGCAUAAAUAUGCCUACAGCAGUAUCUUUUGAUUGCAUUAGGAAACACUCUAUCAAUUGCAUUGAUCACUCCUUUUUGUCGAUCACUCAUGAAACAUAGGCCUUCUCCACCAUUACAACCAAUCUGGUCAUAUAGCUUUUCCAUGAAAAACUCCCAAGAGUAAGUGUUUUCACUCUCUACUACACAUAAGGCUAGUGGAUAUAUACCAUAAUUAGCAUCAAUCCCAACUACAGUCAAUAAAACUCCUUUAUAUGGCCCUUUUAGAUGGCAGCCAUCAACCCCUACAAACUGUCUACAGCCUUCAAAAAAACCUCUCCUACUUGCAUCAAGCAUCAUGAAAAAUCUUUUAAAUACUGGGUGAGCUGUAUCUCCAUUCAAUUCCCUCUCAAUAGCUACUGUGGAUCCAGGGUUAUACUUUAUCAAAGCUUGUUGGUAUCUACUCAGUUUGCUGUAACUUUUCUUGUGAUCUUGGCCAAGUAAUUCAAGUGCUUUUUGUUUUGCUCUGUAUAACCUAUGCACACUGCACUCAAUGCCAUACUUUUUCAAAAGCUCAGCUGCUAUUAACUUGACACUGACUUCGGGAGUUGACUUGAAGAUAUGAAGAUAAGUGGCUGCAAUCCAGGUUGAAGUAGCUUCUCCGUUAUCAUCAUCAAUCCCACCACAUGUAUGAACAUCACAUAGGGUCUUAAUUUGAAAUCAUAACUGGCUAGCUAGUUCUUGCCUGCCUUGCUGCCAUUACCCAGGCCAUUACAUUGCAUAGCAUAAGGAAUAGUGAUUAGGUGCUUAUUAGUGAUUCGUUGAGCUUAUUAUUGACCAAACAAACAUAUUCGCCUUUACCCACAACUUAGUUUGAUUAGUUAUUAGACCAUAAAGAGCGUUAAUCUGUUCAUUGGCUUUGUUAUUUUUAUUUGGUUUUUCUUCCGACAAUACGGUUGAUUUCUUAUAAAAAUAUUCAUUGGUUUUUAAACACCUAAUCAUUGGCUAUAAUGAAGCUAAUUGAAACUGAGGCUUAUCAAUUUCUUCCUGCAAGAUACAAUUGAGCAUAAACUAUAUCCUCAGUAAAUUUUUCUAAUAUCCUUGAUUUGUUAGGAUAUGGGCCUGAAAUCCUCUAGAUUUUUUUAACACUGUCAAUGUUCUUUUUACUCUGAAAAGGGAAAAAAAAGGUUAUAUCUUUCAUACCCUAAUAGUAAGUUGGCCUUGACUUAACAUGCCUUCCCGAGAUUUGCAAGAUUCACAAGCAGCUCACACCCCCCCCCAACCAAAAAAAAAAAAAGAAAAAUAAAUAGGAAGAUUUUUGCGAGAUUCACUGCUGUACGGCCAAGGCGGAUGUACGGUACAGCAGUCAUAUCUCACACAAGCAGCAAUUUCCUCAUCAGACGAAUCAAAUUCAUCACCAGUCUCAUCACCUGACUGAUAAUCAUCAAGAACAUAGUCACUUUCUUCACCAUCUGAUCUUGCAUUCUCUUCAUCACUUUCUUCACCAUCUGAUUUAGAAGUAUAAAUUGUGUCAGUUGAACCUUUGCCAUUUUUCCCAGAAUUCUCAGAGCUAAAGUGUACUGUCAUAUCAUCUUCGAGUAAAUAACCACUCCGAAUACUGAAUUGCGUCAUAUUAUUCUCAUUGUUAAUUUCUUCAACAUCAUCUAGUUCAUUCCAAUUAAUUUCAGGAUCGACAUUGAGGUUGACAGAAAACUGAUUUUCAGGAGUUAUCUCAGUCACCUUGCCAUCAACUACUGCUUCAACAUCAUAAUGCACAACACUGUAAUGCAAUAAAACAACAUAAAUAAAUGCUAUUAAUGUUAAAGAAAAAGUUAAAAUUUAGUAAAUAGAAAAUGCAAAGUGUAGUUGACUAGUAGUAGCACACAAAUGCAGCAUAUCAUCUAUUUCAAGCUUAUUAAAACCCACUUUAAAAAUUACAUCAUGAAUAUUACCAUAUGCUUGCAAAUGCAUAAUCAACCGUAACAUAAGCUAAAACCAUAUGCUUGCAAAAUACCCAAAAUGGUGUUGGAAAAUUUAUUCUCGAUUUUAUGUUUCACAGUUCCAUAAACAUUAUCAAAGAUGUGUCAAUGAACAAAUAAUGAAGCAUAAACUUGACAUUUACAAACAACUCACCAUAAUAUCAAUACGCUCUAAAUGGAGCAAAAAAAAAAAAAGCUUGAUUCAAAACUAACCUAUAAUUAAUUUCAACAUACCGAUUCAAAUCUUUCGAGCAUCGGUGAAAUUCAGAGCGGGACAUGAUGCAGAUUUAGUGUUUCUUCUUCACUUCACCCAAAUAAUAGAUACUGCUUUGCUAGAAAUUAAAAAAAAAAUUUCCUUCUCAACAGAGCUUUCGUCGUCUGAGCUUCAUGAAACUCAGCUUCAUGAAAGAGAAACGUGCAGUUUCAGAGAAAAGAGAAAAAGUUUUAAGCUUUGAUUCUUUUACAGUUUUUUAUUUAUAUCAAUUAUCACAAGGCACGAUUUUUUUCACAAUGAUUUGACAAUUCACUGGGCUCAUGUCAACUAAAAUGUGUAAAAGUUAGCUUGUCAAAUUAAAUUACUAAAUUGCCCAUAACUAACCAUAUGAGAUUUACCGUUUGCAUUCCGUAAGGGGGUUUUUACUAAUAAAUGAAUCUUGGCCAUCUAAGUGCAAAAGACCCAAAGCUCAAGGGAGGAAAGUAAAAAUUACCCUUACUAUUUCUCGUUGCACUUAUAAAGAAACCAAAGCUUUAAGAGAAAUCGGCCAAAUCAUGAAGAUUGAAGAGUAAAUCUAUGGUUUUAUAUUUAUAUUUUUAUUUUUAGAUAAUAGAUAUUAUUUUGAUGAAUUUUUAAUAUUAGAAUAAUGUUAGGAAUUUCGAUAGUAGAAUUCUAACUUGAGACCCAAUUGUUAUGUGUCAUUUUUUUAUUAGAUAAUAAAUUUCAUAAUUAGUAAAAUUAAUAUUUCAAUCAUCUAAUAAAUGACUAUCAUAUCAGUUGAGACUUAAUUAUUGGGAUCCUUAACAUUGCUCUUAGUAUUAAAUUGGACAUCUUAGCUAAAUCAGAUUAAAAAUCAAAUUAGAUUUUUGGCUUUUAUCCAACAUUUGUUUUUUGGUCUCUUUGUAGUGAACGAAAUAAAAAUACAACAGGUUCAACGACUGGGCAAUUGAUAGUCAAGUAGAAGCAAAUCAAGGCUAAAUGGGAAAGAAAAAUGAUAUGUGUACAAAACAAGGAGAAAAUCCGUGUAACUGAAGAGAAUCAAAGUGCUUUUGAGAUUAGAAAUUGAAGCAAGAAAAGGGUCGCUUGAUCCAUUGAAAAUGCUAAGAGCCAAUGGCAAAAGAGAACAAUGUUAAAUAAGAAAACAGCUAGCGCUAGCAGCGACCACAAUAGACAGAAAAGUUGAGAUGGAUUUACAAUAUUUCUGCCUUUCUUCAUGCUUUAACAAAUAUUGCUCUAUAAAAAAAAAUAUUGAGCGUUUUUAUUAUUGGAGUCACAAAAGACCUACACAAUAUAGCAAGUGCUAGGAAUAAAUAAGAAUAUAUAACUCUCUCUCUAAUUCUCACUCUAGCUUUUAAUUGUCAUUCAAAACCCAAAAUUCAUCCUUAAAGUGUAAGCAAAUCAGAGAUGACAACGUCUGGUUGUCAUACGUGCCUUUUAGUUUUCGGAUGACAUGGCGUACACUUCUUCUGUAAACCGAACAUGACAUGUCGUACUCUUUGUUUUGAGAUCAUAUUUCAAACUCUUCAUGCUAUGAAUGAAAGAUAAACUACAAUCAUCAAAAUAUUUAGUGUUUAUUUGGUAAUGUAACGUCAUAGUUGUUGUGAAUUGAAAUUAUUUCUGUGAGAUAAAAGGAUUUGGGUCAUCGUUUGUUAUUCUCUGGCAAUAUUGUCUGGCCGUGACUAUUUGUUAAAUAUUAAAAAAAUAAAAUUAUAUUUAUUAAGUAUAAAAAAUAAAUAAACAAACAAAAAUAAAAGGAAAAGUUUAUACAUUACAUAAAAUAAUAAGAACAUUAUCAAUAUUUCACACUCUAUAAUUGAGUGAUGUGUUGUCCAACUGCCAUACAUUGGUCUCAAAUGGAGACUUAAAUAUUAAAGUCCAAAGUUAUUGUGAUGAUGACUUAUAAUCGCCAAACUUGACAUACGGGUAAUCAUGCAUUAUAAGGUGCUGAUUUCUUCCGAUCGGAACCUUAUUUUUCAUUUACAAAUAAAUAAAUGACGUGACUUAACGGGUGGUGGGGUCCUUUGUGCCAUUUGCGUAUUUCACUGAAUAGUUGAUUCAACUUGAUUGUAGCAGGAAGAUUCCUGGAAGUUGCCAUUUGCCAAUGCUACUAACAUUUUUAAACUUAGAAAACCCUUCAAUCAAUCAUUUAGUGGUAGGCUCUGGUAGCUUGCUUUGAUUAUGACAUAUGAUUAUUUGAUAAUAAAGUUAGAGGAUCUUAUUAAAUUCAUCCACAUGAUCCUUCAAGGCUCUGCUGUACGGCCAAGGCGGAUGUACGGUACAGCAGGUGUUGAAGUUAAUUAUCUCAUUAAUAAUAGUAUAAAAAGUUAAUCACUAAGAAACACAUAGCAAUAUUCUGGGAUAUAAUUUUAUAUCAUAACUUUGUAAGUGUAUAAUUACUCAUUAAAUUAACAAAAUUAUUUUAAAAUAUUUAGUUAAAAAAAUAAAUUAUAUUCUUUUUAUUUCAAAUAAUCUAUAAGUUAACACAAAACAUAAUCAAGCUGAGAAUUAAAAUAAUGCUACUGUAUGAGAGGAUUUUUAUUUUUUCCCGAAGUUUCACUAGGAAAUUAUUGAUAUAUAGCUUUAUUCGGAUCAUCUCAGAUCAAACGACAAAUAAUUGAAAGACUAAACUAAAUAGACCAGCCAACAACUUUGUACAGCAGAGUUCAAAAAUUAAGGUCAUGGUAUUGAGGUGUUCUAUCUUCAAAAGUACGGUAUAGUGAUAAAAUAAAAACUAUUAGUCUUUGGUAAGAUAUGACUUUUAAAUAAUAAUUUUCACAAAAAUACAAAGAAUAUUUAUAAAGUACUUCUAUAGUGAGGAGACCCUCGCUUUGUUAAAGUGAAAAUAUCAAUAAUAUACAAGAAACAUAUAUUUUAACACAUUAAGAACUGUAUCUUUUUAAUCUAUUGGUGUAUUGAAAUAUGUGUUAUUUAGUUUGUUAGUGAUAUCAUCACUUUGUUAAAAUAAGGAUGUUAGAACCAUUAUAUAUAAGAAAGCAAAUAUAUUUUGUACGGUAUAAUAGUGUAAUAACAUCACCUUUUUGUAGGGAAAAUUUUUGGAUUGCAAUUCUCAUACAAUACGUAAAAUUAUCAUAAUCUAUAAAUUGUAUUUUUGAUUUUCUGUGGUAGUAAGUUAGACUCCUUAGUGACGAUUUAAAUUGAAAAAAUAAAAUCAUAAAUAAGAAUUAUUUGACAAGAAUUAAAAUAAUUGAUAAAUAUUUGAGAGGAGCAAUUUUGGAAGAUUCGAUUUCUAAUCGGAGGGGAAUUUGAAUUUUACAGCCUUCGGUGAGGAAUCCAAAAUGCACAAUUUGAUGAAAAUUAAAUUUCAAUAGAAAUUGAAUUCCCUUUAUUAGUGAAAACCAAACAACAGAAAAGUGAAAGGAAUUUGAAUUCAUUUCCUUCCUCUCUUCUCCCUCCAACUAAAUACCAUCGAAAUCCAAAGGUAUGGGAUUGGGAUUCCAUACUGAUCAGAAUGGGAUUUGUUCAUAUUAUUAGGACCAAUUUUAAAAGCAGUCGGAGUUUCGGAGUUUAAGAUUGAAAUUAAUCCCAAUUGUUGAUUUGGGACUCGAUAAGAAUUUAUCUUGGAACUCCAAUUCUCCCAAUUAUUUUAGUUGACAAUAUGUUUAACAUUAUUUUUUAAACAUUAUUAAUUGCAUAUUAUUUAAUUAUCAGUAUAUAAUAUUCUUUAAUUUUCUAAUUUUAUAGGAUUAGACACAAAAUUGAUUAUGCCUUUUGAAAUUUAAGUGUUAUGUCAAUUGAAUAGAAAACUUGGAGUAAAACUUUUGGAUGCUUUUGUUGAUUAUCAAUUUAUGCAUGAAUUUUUGUACGUUUAUUUUGGUUUCUUAUUAUUACUUUUAAACAUUUUUAUUGGUUUGAUUUAGGGUUAGUUUGGUAAUCCUGUAUCUUUAAAAUUAAUUACAGUUAGCUAUGCUGUAGAAAUUGAUAAAUCGUGAAAAGAAUCAACCGAACAUUUAGGUGGCGUUUGUUUUUUUGUCUGAAAUCUGAAUAGACCUGAAUUAGUCUGAAUUCUGAAUAGGUCUGAAUGUCUGAAUCUGAAUAAUAUGUUUGUUUUUUCGUCUGAAUCUCGGAAAAUAAGUAUUAAGUUGUUUUUUUUUUCAACUUAAAAAGCUGAAAAUAUGUACUUUUACAUUUGUAUCCUUAUUAAAUUUGAAUGUCAAAUAAAUAAUAUAUUAAAUACCAUAAUAUUUUAACAUUUAUAAGUAAAACUAUAUUCAAGUGAAUACAUAAUUAUUUUGGAAUUUUAAUAUAUAAAAUACCAUAAAUUUCAAAUUUUAUUGUAUAUAAUAUAAGAAAGAAAAAAUAGGGAUAUUUUUAUGUGAGGUAAAUAUCUAUGGGUGAGUUUUGGGAUAGACAUGAAAAAUAAAUUAUAAAACAGGGAUAUUUUUGACAUUAGCAAGCAAUUGACUUAAUUCAUAUUUCUCCAUUAAGUAAAAAGCCAAAAAAAUUAGCUUAUUUUAUUAAGUCAAAAUUAUCUAAAAAGUCUCAUUAAGUUAUAAAAACAAACACGUCUAAUUAACUUAAUUAAUUAAGUUAAGUCACUUUAAGUCAUUAAGUUAAAAAACAAACACCACCUUAGUAAAUUUUAUUUUAAAAAGUACAUUUAGUUUUAAAAUCAGUCGUAUGUGUUUCAUAAAUCUUAUUGUUAAAUCAGUGCAAGAAUGUAAAUGACUGAAUCAGACAUAAUGCUAAAUAAAAUUUAUUUAGACAUUUACAAACACGUAUAUAAAAUAUUUUUAUUACGUACAUAUAAUUAUUGAUAACUAAAAUAAAUAUUUUAUAUUAUUAAAUUUUAUUCUCUAUUUUGUUAUGUCCAUAUAAUUGGUAAUAAUAAUAAUUUCUUUAAAGUUUUGUAGGGAAAAUUUUUAGAUUGCAAUUCUCAUACAAUACAUGGAAUUAUCAUAAUCUAUAAAUUGUAUUUUUGCUUUUCUGUGGUAGUAAGUCAGGCUCCUUAGUGACAAUUUAAAUUGAAAAAAUAAAAUCAUAAAUAAGAAUUAUUUGAUAAGAAUUAAAAUAAUUGAUAAAUAUUUGAGAGGAGCAAUUUUGGAAGAUUCGAUUUCUAAUAGGAGGGGAAUUUGAAUUUUACAGCCUUCGGUGGGGAAUCCAAAAUGCACAAUUUGAUGAAAAUUAAAUUUAAAUAGAAAUUAAAUUCCCAUAUAUUAGUGAAAACCAAACAACAGAAAAGUGAAAGGAGUUUGAAUUUCAGGGUCCAACUACAAUACCUGUGGGGUUUGGUACCCUAUUUUUUGUCUUUUUCAAACCUACCGUUGGAUUUAAUGUAAGAAUUGCGUAAUGGCUGAGAUGUGAUUAUUGGGUUAUUAACAUCAAAGACCCUUAUUGUUCAUGCAAAAUAAACAAAAUCAAAAGUUUUGAAAUUUGACAUAUAAGUCCAUAAUAUUCUCUCUUUUUUUUUUAACUCCAUUGAAAUAGGUUUCCAAUUAAAUGACUUAUUCUUACAUUUAUUAAUAUCUAUUUAAAUUAAUUAAUUAAUUAAUUAACUACUUUGUUAUAUAGUUAAACAAUGCAUGUAUAUUAUUUACUAACCAUAAUUAGUGAUAAGUAUAAAUAUGAUCUUUUUUUUUUAAUUUAACAUAAUGGCAACCAAUUAUCUCUCACCUAUGUGAACAAGGUUCAAAACCCAUAAUUUUGUUUUUCAACACAAGAGAUUUUAUUAUCUCAAGUAGAUGAAAUAUACAAAAUACAAAAAUAAACUUAAUUUCAUAUUCUAUGUAGUUAAUUUUUUUUGUAACAUAAUAUUUAUUAAACAUACUAUCAACUAUUUAAUUAUAUAGUAAAAAUAUGUUAAUUUACUAAUAAUAAUAAAAUGUUAGUUUAUUAACUUGUAAAAUCUUUUUGUUAACAAUGAGUUUUUGUCCUUAAAUAAAUAAUAAUAAUUUAAUUGCACGCUUAAAUAAAUUGGUAUUUGUUACUCCACCCCAACUAUUUAAAUAGUCAUUAACUUAUCGGAGAGAAGGGUAAAAAAAUUCUAAACAAUUACUCUAUUUGAAAAUAAUUUAAAUAUUUCUUUAAAAAAAACUAAAAAUAAGUAUUUUCUAUUCUUUCUUCUUUCUUGCUAACAUCACAGAUGGAUAACAAUAGAGAUGGCAAUUCAACACAUAUCUAUCAAUUAAAAUAGAAGUCAAUUAAUAUAAUUAAGUGAAUAAUUAAUUGUGUCAUGAAUGAAUUAUCAUAUUAGGAGUUUUAAAACCAAACCCAAUAGAAUUAUUAAUCAAGUUAACAGCUAGAAAGAGCAAACAAAUCCAUUCAAGUUGGAUGUCUAAGUAUCUGAUCUGAAUAGAUUGGAUAGUAUCCAUAUAAAAUACUCUGAAUUUGAUUUAUUCAAUAUCCAUCCAUGAACUUGAAUAUUAGUAAUAUUUAAGUGUAUGAGACUAAAAUUAAGUAUUAUAUUUAAUAUUUAAGUUUUGUAAAUCAAAUGAAAAAUCAAAAUAAUAUUGCUAAAAAUUAUUGCACCACCAAUGACAACAAUGACGGUAUCAUCACUAAGAAAUAGACGUGAGUGAACAGAAAAACAAAAAACUAUCAACGUAUUCAAAAUUCUCUGAUCAAUGUAAUGGUGGCAAUGUUGCCGGAUAAAUAGAUAUGUCGGCGAUAGAUGAGCCUUCCAAUGCAAACAACUAUAACAAGACCCUAUGAUUAGAUGACAUUUUAACGCAGGGCGGAAGCGAUACUAGAUUUCGUUCUAUUAUACGUCUUGAAAACUCAAGAAAGAGACUCUCAUCAAAGAGAAGAUAUUUUAAUUGAGAAAAAACUGAAUAUUAUUAAUGAGAAGCUUGUGUCUGUUAUCAUAAAUUAAGAAUAAAAAGCCUAUAUAUAUAAUAGUAGCUAAAUUAAUCCUUAUCUUUCUCAAAUAAGAGAAAUAAUCUAAAAUCCUAAUUAGAUUAGAAUUACAAAUAUGACUCAAGUAAGCUUAAUAAAAUAAGAUAAAUCCUAAUAAAAUACCAAAUUUUAAAUUGACCCAAAUAUUAUAAUUCCUAGUAAAUUCUAAUUUAUUUAUUUUUUUAUAAGUUUGUUUGGUUUUUGGGUGUUUUUUAAAGAACAGAAAAUUAUAGGUAAUAGUAUAAGUAUAGAAAAGUAAAGGGGCAAAAUUAUAAAUAGGCAAAAGUUGGUGUUGCCAGCGACGAUGGUCGAAAAUUUGGCCUAGGAUAGGUGGAUCUAGAAGAUUUGAUGGUGUUGAGUGUGAUGCUGGUGGUGAUUUGUCUCAAAUAGUUGUGAUUUGACUGAAAAGUUGAGUUAAAGUAGUGGGUGGAGGUUGGUUUCAGUUUCUGGCGAUCCGGCCGAGGGUUGGCAGCGUGAGUGGGUUGAAAAGAAAGAGCUGAUGAUCGUGGAGGAAUGGGUGGUGGUGGAGGCUGUGAAUCGUAACGGAUUGCAGCGAAUAGAGAGGUGGAUUUUCGUGGUGGUUCAGCGGUUGUUUUGGCUAGUUUCCCGUGGCUACGGUGACGGGAUGGUGGUGUUAUGGGUUGGGUUAUGAUUGGCGACGUGAGGGCUUUUGGAUGGGAGAGAGGAUCGACCAAAAAGAAGAGAAACCAGUGGCGGCGGCAGCCGUGUGGCACGGAUGUGAUGGUAGCUUCGGGUUUUGUUGGGUUUUUUUUUUUAACUUGAUGGAACUAAUGUACGAAGUUGGUGGUCGAGAAUGCUCUGCCUAGUGCAGAAAAAAGCUCUAAUAUGAUUUAUGUCUUGAAAACUUUAAAAAGAUGCUCUCACCAAGGAGAAGAUAUCUCAAUUAUGAAAAAAUUAAAAAUUAUUAAUAAGAAGUUUGUGUCUGUUAUCAUAAAUUAAGAAUAACAAGUUUAUAUAUAUAAUAGUAGCUAAUCUUUCUCAAAUAAGAGAAAUAAUCUGAAAUCCUAAUUAGGUUAGAAUUACAAAUAUGACUCAAGUAAGCUUAAUAAAUAAGAUAAAUUUUAAUAAAAUAUUAAAUUUUAAAUUGACCCAAAUAUUAUAAUUUCUAGUAAAUUCUAAUUCAUUUUAUCUAAUAUGCUUCCUACAUCACGUUUUAAGGUUCAUUGCCUUUAACAACCAAAUUGAGGGUCUCUAAAUUUAAAAAAGAAAAAGAAAAGAAAACAAAAGGUGGUAGUGUAAUGUAACUCCUUGUGUUUUUGUGGUAUAGUUAUUGUUGCAGUUAUUUUAGAAGGAGCAUGCAACUUUACAUAUCACCAUUUGCUAGCAUUGAGACUAUCUUUAUGUAAAUCAUCCAAUUUCAAAUAUAAUGGAACCCUUCAUGUCCCCUUUCGAUUAAAAAUAUCAUUGCACGCGAAGAAACAGUAGUCACUAGUGAUUGUUUUAAUACAAAAUAUCUUUUUAUAAUUAAUUAAAAAAUAAGAAUAAAAAAUUUAUUUUAUUAUUCUGUUUCUAUAUGGAAAAUAAUUUUAAUUACCUUUUAAUUAAAAUGGGUGAGAAAAAUGAUGUCAUUGAUGGUGCAAAAUGGAUGAGAAAAAUGAUACUGUGUUGGUGUAGGACUAAUGCGUAAAAUUUUAAAAAUUUUCAACAUUUUCAUUUUUAUAACAAAUACCAGGACACUAUUAUAAUUGACCUUUAAAAAGACAAAAGAGAGGGGUACCAAAGGCAUGUUGCAAUGUAGCUUUGCCCUUGAAUUCAUUAAUUUUCUAAUUUUAUAGGAUUAGACACAAAAUUGAUUAUGCCUUUUGAAAUUUAAGGGUUAUGUCAAUUGAACAGAAAACUUGGAGUUAAACUUUUGGUUGUUUUUGUUGAUUAUCAAUUUAUGCAUGAAUGUUUGUACAUUUACUUUGGUUUAUUAUUAUUACUUUUAAACAUUUUUAUUGGUUUGAUUUAGGGUCAGUUUGGUAAUUUUAUUUUUAAAAUAAUUACAGUUAGUUAUGCUGUAGAAAUUGAUCAAUUGUGAAGAGAAUCAGCUGAACAUUUAGUAAAAUUUAUUUUUAAAAGUACUUUUAGUUUUAAAAGCAGACGUAUGUGUUUCGUAAAUUUUAUUAUUAAACUGGUGAAAAAAUAUAAAUGACUGAAUUGAACAUAAUGCUAAAUAAAAUUUAUUUACACAUUUACAAACAUGUAUAUAAAAUAUUUUUAUUAUGUAUAUAUAAUUAUUGAUAACUAAAAUAAAUAUUUUAUAUUAUUAAAUUUUAUUCUCUAUUUUGUUAUCUCAAUAUAAUUGGUAAUAAUAAUAAUAAUCUAUUUUAAGUUAAUGAUUUUAUUUCUUAAUUCAUAAAGAUAAUUUUGGAUUUUUAUUAUAUAAUGAGGAUAUAUAUAGAAUUGGAUUAAGUAUAAAAGUAAUUCUCAAAAUCAAAUUUUGAAAAACUAUUCAUUCACUACUUUUCAAAAUCUACUGUAUGAUGAGAUGAUUUUACCGAAAGUAAUUACUAAAAAAAUUUAUAAAACACUAAAACUUAGCUUUUAUGGUAUGUUUACUUCAUGGAAUGAGGAAUGUGAAUGAAAGAAUGAGAAUGAAACCCAUGUUUACUUGGCAAAAUAUAAUUUGGGAAUGAGAAUAAAAUGUGUGGAUCUCACACAAUUUGAGAAUAAGGAAUGGGAAUCCCAAGCCCAUGAGGGGUUGGGAAUAAAAAUGAGGGAAUGAGAAUGAAAUAUAUAUUUACUUUUGUAUCCCUCUAAUUUUUUCAUAUUUCCUAAAUUACCCUCAUUCAAAUCACAAUUAAUUUUAUUAUUUAAAAUUUCAUUAAUAAUAAUAAUAAUAUUAUUAUUAAAUUUUAUUAACUUUAUUAUUUUAGUUAUUAUUAAUUAUUUUUAUUAAUAUUAUUAUUAUUAACAAUAAAAAUAAUGAUAAAAAUAAUAAUUAAUAAAAAAUAAUUAAUUUAUCAUUAUUAACAAUAUUAUCAUUAUUUUUGUUAUUAUUAUUAUUAUUAUUAAAAAUAAUAAUAACAAUAAGUAAUAAUAACUAAAAUAAUAAAGUUAAUAAAAUUUAAUAAUAAUAAUAAUAAAUGUUAAUAAUGAUAAUAUUAAUAAAAAUAAUAUUAACAAUAAUUAAUAAUAACUAAAAUAAUAGAGUUAAUAAAAUUUAAUAAUAUUUUAUUAACUCUAUUAUUUUAGUUAUUAUUAAUUAUUGUUAAUAUUAUUUUUAAUAGUAAUAAUAGUAAUAAUAACAACAAUAAUGAUAAAUUAAUUAUUUUUAUUAAUUAUUAAUACUAUGGGUAUUAUGGUAAAUUGAUUCUCAUUCUCAUUUAUUUUGCCAAGUAAACACAUCAAUUGCAUUCCAGCACAUUCCCAUUCCCAUUUAUUUUUGCCAAGUAAACAUUGAAAUCUCAUUCCCAUUCCUCAUUUCCUUUCCAGUCCAUUCCCAUUCCACCUCAUUCUUAUUCCAAGAAGUAAACGCACCAUUAAUAUUUAAAAUCACUUUUGAGAUUCCCAAAAACAAUCCUAACAUGCCUUUAUUUGGGUGGUGUUAGAACUUUUAGUUUUUAAAUUUAUAAAACAUUAAAAAUUAGCUUUUAGUUUUUAAAAUCACUUUUGAGCUUCCCAAAAACAAUCCUAACAUGCCUUUAUUUGGGUGGUGUUAGAACUUUUAGUUUUUAAAUUUAUAAAACAUUAAAAAUUAGCUUUUAGUUUUUAAAAUCACUUUUGAGCUUCCCAAAAACAAUCCUAACAUGCCUUUAUUUGGGUGGUGUUAGAACUUUUAGUUUUUAAAUUUAUAAAACAUUAAAAAUUAGCUUUUAGUUUUUAAAAUCACUUUUGAGCUUCCCAAAAACAAUCCUAACAUGCCUUUAUUUGGGUGGUGUUAGAACUUUUAGUUUUUAAAUUUAUAAAACAUUAAAAAUUAGCUUUUAGUUUUUAAAAUCACUUUUGAGCUUCCCAAAAACAAUCCUAACAUGCCUUUAUUUGGGUGGUGUUAGAACUUGUAACUUUUGGAUCUUUUAGUUUUUAUUGGUUGGAUACAAUAUUGUGACUUGAGCGUCGGAGGGUUUUCACCGGAAAAACUUCUAGCGCCCCCUGACUGUUCUUUGUGCUUGCAUGCUCGCGGGUUAUCUGCUCAUGGAUCAUCUGCUCAUAGAACAUCUGCUCACGGUGCUCACUGAUCAGCAGCUCGUGGAUUAUCUGCUCAUGGUGCUCACUAAUCAGCAGCUCAUAGAUUAUCGGCUCAUGAAUUAUCUGCUCAUGGUUAGAGGAUUUUCUUGAAGAUUAAUAAGCCGCUUCUUCACCAAACAAAUUUAUUGUUGAUGCGGGGAUGUGGUUUUGAGUCAACAACCAACUCAACCAGAUUUCUGCAUCAACAUAAAGUAUUAAUCAGCUUAAUUAAUUUAUAAAAUUUAAAUCUAAUUAAUAAGUGACACAUAAAUGCCAAGUGCAAUAUAUGCAAAUCAUGUUUGUCGAUCAUUACAAAACUGGCUCUUGAAAACAAGCAAGAAAGCUUAAUUAAGAACUUAAAACAAAAAGAAUUAGAUUGAGGACAGUCAAGCCUUAUUUUUUCAAGGAUGGAGCUUAUAAAUCUUCAAGUACCAACAUAUGCUUGGCCCAAUUGUUGUUAUUAAAAUUUCAAAAUAUAAGUAUGACAUAGCAAAAAUUUGAUGGUACAUGUGUCGGAAUAUACUAGCUAGUUCAUGGAUGCAUUUGAUUAUUGUUUCCAUAAAUUUGAACCAAGAAGGAUGACACAAUAAAAUUUGAUUUUAUUAUAUGGUUGAUUUCAUAUCUCAUGCACUCAUUUCUUAAGAUAAUCAGAUUUUCUCUGACAUCUUUUGCAAAUGUGGAAAUAUCAAUUAUGAUCAAUCAAAACGAUCUCAAAACCUUUCAACGAGACAUAUUCAUAAUACAAUAUUGUGAAAAUUACACCAAAAAUUUGAUUUAUUAUAUAUUAUUAUCCAACGAGCACACAAAAAUGAAUUCAUACAAAUCUAAAAUACUUAGCAAUUUUCAAAUAGAAUUUACCAUGUACUACAAGAAAAUAUGGUAUAUGUGACCCCUAAUGCGAAUGCAAAAGCAGCCAUUACGUAUAUCACUAAGAGCCUGUUUGGUAUGGCUUAUUUAAGAGCCAUAAGUGCUUAUUUAAUCGUAUAAGCGCUUUUUAAAAUUUUUUAUGGUGUUUGGUUAUUUUUUUAAUAGAGUUUUUUUAGCUUAAAUAAGCUAAUUUACCUCUACUAGGAAAAGCCCAAAAUUUGAGCUUUUGGGAGUAGAGGUUAUAAAGCUUUUCUAAAUAUAUAUAAUAUAAAAAAUAUCAUAUAGUUUAAUGGUUCAAAAGUGCUUUUUUUAUUGACAACCAAACACCCAAUGACACUGCUGUCACAUAUGUUACUAACCACGUGACGGUAAAGAGCCGUUCGGUAUACUACUAUUUUAGAAUUUUAAAUUUAUUUCCAGUUAGAAAACUAUUCGCUGGACUCCAUCGUAAACCUAACUGGUUGCCGGCGAACGGCGUAAAACACCGGGCAUCUUCUUCUUCAUCGUAUUCUCCCUUCAUCUUUUGAGUUAAGCUUGUGAUUAUGAGUUUCUUCUCUUACUUAGCUUGUAAUUAUAGAUUUUGAUUCUUUUUAAUUCGUAUUGUAGUCGUUAUUGUCAAUUUUUGUCUCGCCAGCAAUUGUUUUUAUUCCUACAAGUUGAAGCCCCUGUGUUCUUGUUCCAUUGGUGUGUUUGCUCACUCAAAUUAAUUUUGUUCUACAAAGUUCAAAUGGAUUCAUUUGAAUUACUAUUGAAUUUAGCUUUAAUUCCAACAUCCAUUCUAAUGUUUUGCUAUUAGAUUUACUUUAAUUUUAUGUUUAAAGCUUCUACAAUGAAUAGCGGAGCUUGGGUUUUAGUUUCAUUUUCUAGAUAACUUGUUUAUCUUGUAUGCUCACCAAGUGCAUGUUAUAUUGUCUGAUAAGUUAUAUAUAUUGCUGAUUCUAUAUUAAUAAUGUUACGUUCUAUUUUCAGAAAUUAUAAUAUAAACUGAAUUAACUUGUAGAAUAAGAGCUUGGAGUAGUGUUAUGUUCUUGAAUAAAUGAAAGUCCAUAUUGUGUAAGAGCAUGUAGAUGUAAAGCGCAUUGCCAUUUCUAUAAAGGACUUUCAUUCUGUUCAGAUGCUCCUCUUGAACUCUGAAAGGUGCCUCAUUCAAGUCCUAGCUAUAACUACUAGCUUUGAUUAAUUAAUUUCCUGUACUAGCAGAAACAGAUUUAUUUAUUUAAAUAAUUGUCUAUGUACUAAUUAUAAUGAAAGUAUAUGAAGAAAUUUUUUAACAUGAAUGACUUCUAAAUGACUUAAAAACCUAAAGGAUAUGAGAAAUAAUGCUCAUUUCACUUGAACGAGCCUAUUAAUACUUGUAUGUCUAUGAUUGUUAAUAUUGGCUUAAGCAUUUCAGUUAAAUGGUUUACAUAACAGGGAAAAAAAUUUAAAUGAAAACUUUAGAGUUCUAACAGAAAUAUAAUUGACUAUGCAGAUAUAGUUAUUUUAUGGUAUACAAAUCAUGUUGCCUUAAUCUCAAUGUCCUAUGACCUAUUUUAUUUUAUAUAGUCAUUCAUUUUUGCCAUGGCUUUUUGUUUUUAUGAGUAUGGAAAUAGUGGGAUUUGGUGUAUCUUAGCAUCUUUGGAAAAUUCUCUUUAAAUGUGGCAAACAAAAAUAUACAUAUAAUCAAGUUUCUUAAUCAACUAUCAUAACUGGCUAGCAUGAUGAUUUUAUAGCAACAAGGAGGCCAAGAAGAGAGAUAAAGAAACCUGGAUGACUUACUAAAGAUAUAGUGGUAGCCUAUGCACUUCCAGUUAUUGAUGAUGACAUCCCCAACACUUUCGGUGAAGCAUUACACAGCAGUGAAAGUGAUCAGUGGAAGUUAGCCAUGGAGGAAGAGAUGAAAUCUCUGCUGUACGGCCAAGGCGGAUGUACGGUACAGCAGAAACAAAAAUAUACAUAUAAUCAAGUUUCUUAAUCAACUAUCAUAACUGGCUAGCUAGUUCUUGCCUGCCUUGCUGCCAUUACCCAGGCCAUUACAUUGCAUAGCAUAAGGAAUAGUGAUUAGGUGCUUAUUAGUGAUUCGUUGAGCUUAUUAUUGACAAACCAACAUAUUCGCCUUUACCCACAACUUAGUUUGAUUAGUUAUUGUUGUGUAAUAGACCAAGUUCGUAACCCAACUGAAGCAAUUAAUCAGAUUUACAAAACAAGCAAGAACCCAGAAAACGAACCAGGGGAUACAGUCAAGUAACCAAGAACAAGAAAGAAAACUUAAUCAAGAGAUACAAAACAGAGGUUAACGUGGUUCAGUACCAUGAGUACUUACAUCCACGAUCAGGAACAGUAGAGCUAAAGCUUUAUUAGGAGAUAUCAAGAUUACAAUGGAAUCCACUCAGAGCAAGAAACUAAACUCACACAGAGAAUCUUUCUCAACUCACAAACUAUCUCACUUGACUAACUGAUCAGCUCUCUCUCUCACUGAAGCUAUAAAGCUAGCAGUUUACAGCUGGUUAUAACGACUAACUAAAACCACCUGGGGACCCACCCAUGCUGACUCAGCUUUCCAGCUCAGCUAAUAUAUAUAACCGAAUGUAACUAACUUGAUUCCACAAAUCUCCACCUUAGUUAACUCGGUUAUGGCUUUACUCAUCACUGCUCCAUCACCAGUUAACUUGUCUCACAAGUUAAUAACCCCAAUCAAGUCCAAGGAGUUCCUGAACUUAACUGUUGGCAAAGGUUUUGUUAGCAUGUCUGCUGGAUUUACUUCAGUAGGAAUUUUAAUGACAUUGAUUACACCAUUUCGAAUUUCUUCCCUGAUAAAGUGCAUCCUCACAUCCACAUGUUUUGUUCUUUCAUGGUACUUGGGGUUUUUGCUCAACUGUAUAGCACUUGAGCUAUCACAAUUGACAGUGACUGAUUCUUGUUCCAAACCCAGUUUUGUAACUAACCCCUUCAACCAUAAUGCUUCUUUCACAGCCUCUGUUAAAGCAAUAUACUCUACCUCUGUUGUUGAGAGAGCAAUUACUGAUUGUAAUGUUGACUUCCAGCUCACAGCUCCACCACAGAGAGUAAACACAAGACCAGUGACUGACCUUCUCCUAUCUAAAUCUCCUGCAAAGUCAGAAUCAACAGAUCCCACAACUUGGCUAGAUGCAUUACUAACUUGUCCAAACAUUACUCCAUACUCUUCAGUACUUUUAAGAUACCUCAGUAGCCAUUUAACAGCUUCCCAAUGUUCCUUGUCUGGAUUCCCCAUGAACCUGCUGACAAGACCAAUUCCAUAGGCAACAUCUGGUCUGGUACAGACCAUAGCAUACAUAAUGCUACCAACUGCACUGGAGUAGGAAUUCUCCUCAUGAGAUCAAUGUCUGCUUCUUCUCCUGGUUCCUGCUGUUUAGAAAGUUUGAAGUGUGCUGCUACUGGGGUAGUGACAGGCUUUGAGUUCACCAUCCCAAAUCUACUGACAACCUUUUUCAAAUAUCCAGAUUGUGUGAGAAAUAGAGUCUUGGCAUGUCUGUCCCUUUUGAUUUGCAUUCCCAGUAUCUUAGCAGCAGGACCCAAAUCCUUUAUUUCAAACACUGCCAUUAGCUCAGUCUUGAGCUUCUCAACUUCUGCUCUAUGUUUACAUGCUAUAAGCAUGUCAUCAACAUAGAGGAGUAGACUGAUUUGAUCACCUAAGUUCAGCUUCCUGAAGUAAACACAAUUGUCAUAUUCACUUCUGCUGAAGUUGUGAUUCAGCAUGAACUCAUCAAACUUUAAGUACCAUUGCCGAGGAGACUGCUUCAAUCCAUACAAGCUUUUCUUGAGUAAGCAAACCAUGUCUUCAGUUCCUUCCUCAAUAAAGCCUUCUGGCUGAGCCAUCAGGAUUUCUUCUUCUAAGUUUCCAUGUAAAAAAGCAGUCUUCACAUCCAUCUGGUCCAAUUCUAAAUCAAAGUAGGCUGUGAUGGCUAAUAGAACCCUUAUAGAGGAAUGUUUCACAACAGGUGAGAAGACUUCAUUGAAGUCUAUCCCUUCCUUUUGUGUGAACCCCUUUGCCACAAGCCUGGCUUUAUACCUCACUGAUUUACUUCCAGCAACUCCCUCCUUGAGUUUAAAGAUCCAUUUGCAGCCCACCAACCUUCUUCCAGCAGGCCUCUGAACUAGCACCCAAGUGUUAUUGUCUUUGAGUGAUGCCAUUUCUUCUUUCAUAGCACUCAGCCAUUUUAGCUUAUCUCUGCUAUUUAUAGCCUGCUUGUAGCUUUUAGGUUCUUCUCCAGUCAUCUCAUUAGCAACCAUUAGUGCAUAGGAUAUUAAGUCAGCAAUCCCAUAUCUUUUGGGCAGUUUAACUACCCUCCUUUCUCUAUCCCUCGCAAGCUGAUAGUUAUCAAGUUCUGAUGUUGUAGUACUUUCUUGAUGGUGCUCAGUCAUCUCUUUACUUACUUCCAAAUUGUCUCUGGACUCCACCUUCAACUUAGAUCUCUUUUGAGGUUCAGAUAUUUCAACUUCUGUUCCAACCUUCUGCUGCAACAUAGCUUCCUCAUUAAACACUACAUCUCUACUAAUCAAGGUUCUGGAUGGCUUGCCAUCAAUGCACCAGAUUUUGUACCCCUUUAUGCCUUCAGGAUACCCAAUGAAGUAUCCUUUCACAGCCCUUGGUUCUAGCUUGCCCUGACUUAUAUGAGCAUAAGCUGGGCAGCCAAACACCCUGAGAUUACCAAGAUUUGGUGGCUUCCCUGACCAUGCUUCUUGUGGUGUUUUGAAAUCUAAAGCUGAUGAGGGGCUCCUAUUUAUUAGAUAUGCAGCUGUAUUAACUGCCUCAGCCCAAAAAUGCUUUGACAGAUUUGCAUUAAACAGCAUGCAUCUGACCUUUUCAAUUAAGGUUCUAUUCAUCCUUUCAGCCAAGCCAUUUUGCUGGGGAGUGUGUCUCACUGUCCUAUGUCUUGCAAUGCCCUUUGAUUUACAAAAAUUUUCAAAGUCACUGCUGCAGAAUUCCAGGCCAUUAUUAGUCCUCAGCCUUUUAAGCUUCUUUUCUGUUUGGGUUUCCAUAAGUGCAGUCCACUCUUUAAACCUUUCAAAUGCUUCACUCUUAUGCUUCAGCACAUAGACCCACACUCUUCUAGAGUAAUCAUCUAUGAAUGUGAUGAAGUACCUAGCUCCACCAUGAGAGGGAACUUGGGAUGGUCCCCAAAGGUCUGAGUGAACAUAGUCUAAGGUCUGUUUUGUUUCCUGUCUACCAGAGUUGAACUUUUGCCUUGUGGCUUUACCGAACACACAUUUUUCACAAAAUUGUAGUGAGGUGAUUUGAUCAUUUCCUAGCAGCCCUUGCUUACUUAAUUCUCUCAACCCCCUUUCACUCAUGUGUGCUAGCCUCAUGUGCCAAAGUUUGGUUUUAUCACUGCUUACACUAGCUGUGAUUGCUGGCAUAGUUGUUGAGCCAGCAAGUACAUAUAAACCAUUCCUCCUUAUGCCUUUCAUUAUAAUCAGGCCUUUAUCUUCAAUUUGAAGAUUUCCAUUUUCUGCUUUUAUACUACAGCCCCUCUGAUCCAUAACUCCUAAAGAUAUUAGAUUUCUUUUUAAUUCUGGAACAUAUCUGACCUGAUAGCCUGCUUGUAGCUUUUAGGUUCUUCUCCAGUCAUCUCAUUAGCAACCAUUAGUGCAUAGGAUAUUAAGUCAGCAAUCCCAUAUCUUUUGGGCAGUUUAACUACCCUCCUUUCUCUAUCCCUCGCAAGCUGAUAGUUAUCAAGUUCUGAUGUUGUAGUACUUUCUUGAUGGUGCUCAGUCAUCUCUUUACUUACUUCCAAAUUGUCUCUGGACUCCACCUUCAACUUAGAUCUCUUUUGAGGUUCAGAUAUUUCAACUUCUGUUCCAACCUUCUGCUGCAACAUAGCUUCCUCAUUAAACACUACAUCUCUACUAAUCAAGGUUCUGGAUGGCUUGCCAUCAAUGCACCAGAUUUUGUACCCCUUUAUGCCUUCAGGAUACCCAAUGAAGUAUCCUUUCACAGCCCUUGGUUCUAGCUUGCCCUGACUUAUAUGAGCAUAAGCUGGGCAGCCAAACACCCUGAGAUUACCAAGAUUUGGUGGCUUCCCUGACCAUGCUUCUUGUGGUGUUUUGAAAUCUAAAGCUGAUGAAGGGCUCCUAUUUAUUAGAUAUGCAGCUGUAUUAACUGCCUCAGCCCAAAAAUGCUUUGACAGAUUUGCAUUAAACAGCAUGCAUCUGACCUUUUCAAUUAAGGUUCUAUUCAUCCUUUCAGCCAAGCCAUUUUGCUGGGGAGUGUGUCUCACUGUCCUAUGUCUUGCAAUGCCCUUUGAUUUACAAAAAUUUUCAAAGUCACUGCUGCAGAAUUCCAGGCCAUUAUUAGUCCUCAGCCUUUUAAGCUUCUUUUCUGUUUGGGUUUCCAUAAGUGCAGUCCACUCUUUAAACCUUUCAAAUGCUUCACUCUUAUGCUUCAGCACAUAGACCCACACUCUUCUAGAGUAAUCAUCUAUGAAUGUGAUGAAGUACCUAGCUCCACCAUGAGAGGGAACUUGGGAUGGUCCCCAAAGGUCUGAGUGAACAUAGUCUAAGGUCUGUUUUGUUUCCUGUCUACCAGAGUUGAACUUUUGCCUUGUGGCUUUACCGAACACACAUUUUUCACAAAAUUGUAGUGAGGUGAUUUGAUCAUUUCCUAGCAGCCCUUGCUUACUUAAUUCUCUCAACCCCCUUUCACUCAUGUGUGCUAGCCUCAUGUGCCAAAGUUUGGUUUUAUCACUGCUUACACUAGCUGUGAUUGCUGGCAUAGUUGUUGAGCCAGCAAGUACAUAUAAACCAUUCCUCCUUAUGCCUUUCAUUAUAAUCAGGCCUUUAUCUUCAAUUUGAAGAUUUCCAUUUUCUGCUUUUAUACUACAGCCCCUCUGAUCCAUAACUCCUAAAGAUAUUAGAUUUCUUUUUAAUUCUGGAACAUAUCUGACCUGAUUUGGAUCCCUUUCAAUGCCAUCAAACAUCCUAAUGCUAAUGGUGCCAAUUCCAGCUACCUUACAGGCAAGAUUGUUCCCAAGCAAGACUUUUCCACCAUCAAUGCUUUCAAAAGUCUUAAAGAAAUCUACAUUUGGACACAUAUGGAAGGAGCAACCUGAGUCAAGAAUCCACUCACCUGAAGAUUGCUUUUCUGCAGCAAUGAGGACAUCUGCAUCAUCUGACAUCCCUUCAUCUUCAGAGGCUACAGCAGCUUUUCCAUUAGAUUCCUUUUGCAAUUUCUCAAGCUUCUUCUUCUCAAAACAAUCCUUGAUGUAAUGACCUUCCUUUUGACAAAAGUAACAUUUUCUCUUCUUUUUCUUCUUGUCUGGUUUAUCUUUCUGGUUGCUGUUCUUCUUGUCUUUGUAGAAUUUCUUAUCUGGUUUUGCUUUUGCAACUAAGCUUUCUGCAGGGUUUUGAUCCUUCCCAUCUAUUCUUCUCUUCAAGUCCUUUGAUUCCAGGGCAUUCUUUACAUCCUUUAAUGUAAGUGUUUGUCUUCCAUAAAGCAAUGUAUCAACAAAAUGUUCGUAAGAGUCUGGGAGUGAGCUUAAUAGGAUUAGGGCCCUAUCUUCAUCUUCAAGAACUAUAUUCACAUUUUCAAGGUCUAGGAUCAGCUUAUUAAAUUCAUCCACAUGAUCCUUCAAGGCUGUUCCAUCCUUCAUUGAAAAUGUGUAUAGCUUUCUUUUCAUAUACAGUCUCUUGGCUAGGGAUUUCUUUAAAAAUAAUUCUUCCAGUUUCUCCCAUAGACCAGAAGCAGUCUUUUCUUUAGACACCUCUCUUAGCACUUCAUCCGAGAGAUGUAGGAUGAUAGUGCUAUGAGCUUUGUUGUUGAUAGUCUUCAUGUCUCUGCCAGAGCUGGAUGAUCAUUCUUCCUUCCCUUUCUUGGCCUUUGAAUCUUCAUCUUCUUCAAGAGCAGCAUCCAAUCCUUGUUGAAUCAAGAUUGCCCUCAUUUUGAGACUCCACAAAUAGAAGUCAUUGUCCCCAUUAAACUUCUCCAGAUCGAAUCUUGUAGAUGCCAUUGGAGGAUUUCAAAGAGCUUGAUAGAUGACCAAGCUCUGAUACCAGUUUGUUGUGUAAUAGACCAAGUUCGUAACCCAACUGAAGCAAUUAAUCAGAUUUACAAAACAAGCAAGAACCCAGAAAACGAACCAGGGGAUACAGUCAAGUAACCAAGAACAAGAAAGAAAACUUAAACAAGAGAUACAAACAGAGGUUAACGUGGUUCAGUACCAUGAGUACUUACAUCCACGAUCAGGAACAGUAGAGCUAAAGCUUUAUUAGGAGAUAUCAAGAUUACAAUGGAAUCCACUCAGAGCAAGAAACUAAACUCACACAGAGAAUCUUUCUCAACUCACAAACUAUCUCACUUGACUAACUGAUCAGCUCUCUCUCUCACUGAAGCUAUAAAGCUAGCAGUUUACAGCUGGUUAUAACGACUAACUAAAACCACCUGGGGACCCACCCAUGCUGACUCAGCUUUCCAGCUCAGCUAAUAUAUAUAACCGAAUGUAACUAACUUGAUUCCACAAAUCUCCACCUUAGUUAACUCGGUUAUGGCUUUACUCAUCACUGCUCCAUCACCAGUUAACUUGUCUCACAAGUUAAUAACCCCAAUCAAGUCCAAGGAGUUCCUGAACUUAACUGUUGGCAAAGGUUUUGUUAGCAUGUCUGCUGGAUUUACUUCAGUAGGAAUUUUAAUGACAUUGAUUACACCAUUUCGAAUUUCUUCCCUGAUAAAGUGCAUCCUCACAUCCACAUGUUUUGUUCUUUCAUGGUACUUGGGGUUUUUGCUCAACUGUAUAGCACUUGAGCUAUCACAAUUGACAGUGACUGAUUCUUGUUCCAAACCCAGUUUUGUAACUAACCCCUUCAACCAUAAUGCUUCUUUCACAGCCUCUGUUAAAGCAAUAUACUCUACCUCUGUUGUUGAGAGAGCAAUUACUGAUUGUAAUGUUGACUUCCAGCUCACAGCUCCACCACAGAGAGUAAACACAAGACCAGUGACUGACCUUCUCCUAUCUAAAUCUCCUGCAAAGUCAGAAUCAACAGAUCCCACAACUUGGCUAGAUGCAUUACUAACUUGUCCAAACAUUACUCCAUACUCUUCAGUACUUUUAAGAUACCUUAGUAGCCAUUUAACAGCUUCCCAAUGUUCCUUGUCUGGAUUCCCCAUGAACCUGCUGACAAGACCAAUUCCAUAGGCAACAUCUGGUCUGGUACAGACCAUAGCAUACAUAAUGCUACCAACUGCACUGGAGUAGGAAUUCUCCUCAUGAGAUCAAUGUCUGCUUCUUCUCCUGGUUCCUGCUGUUUAGAAAGUUUGAAGUGUGCUGCUACUGGGGUAGUGACAGGCUUUGAGUUCACCAUCCCAAAUCUACUGACAACCUUUUUCAAAUAUCCAGAUUGUGUGAGAAAUAGAGUCUUGGCAUGUCUGUCCCUUUUGAUUUGCAUUCCCAGUAUCUUAGCAGCAGGACCCAAAUCCUUUAUUUCAAACACUGCCAUUAGCUCAGUCUUGAGCUUCUCAACUUCUGCUCUAUAGCCUUUCGUAUGAUAGUUGCUGGUUGUCAUACGGCAGUGUUAUUUGUAUGUUUGCUUUGUCGUUUCUCAUCCAAUUCUGGAAACGACAAAGUCGUCUCCUUCAGAAGGUUCUGAUUCAGGUUCACAUUUAACAAUCUCCACCUUGAAUCUGAAUCACAGCACUCCUAUGGCUUCUUCUUCUCGAGCUUCUGUAUCUUCAUAUUCUACAGAUGCCAGCUAAGUCUAAGCAGUGCUCAAACUUAGCCAUUGGAACUGGCUUUGUCAACAUAUCAGCAACAUUGUUACUGGUAUGAACCUUUACAAGCUUCAUAGUUCCUUUAGAGACUUCCAGCCUGAUGAAAUGGAGCUUGAUGUCGAUGUGCUUGGUCUUUUCAUGAUGGACUUGAUUUUUGCUCAGACUGAUAGCACUUUGACUGUCACAUAGAAUUGGUAUGGAUGUUUGUUGAUACCCCAAUUCAUUUAUCAUGCCCCUUAACCAUAUUGCUUCUUUGAAGGCCUCUACAGCAGCUGUGUACUCUGCCUCUGUUGUAGAUAGGGCCACUACACUUUGAAGUGAUGCUUUCCAGCUGAUUGUGCAGUUAUUAAGUGUGAAGAGAAACCCAGUGAGUGAUCUUCUGUUGUCUAGAUCUCCUGCAUAAUCAGAGUCAACAGAACCCUCAACCAGAUUGUAGUUAGCUCUCUCCCCUCCAUACAGCAGACCAUACCUUGUAAUCCCUUUUAGAUACCUCAGUAUCCAUUUCACAGCCCUCCAGUGUUCUUUCCCUGGAUUUGACAUAAACCUGCUGACCAGGCUUACUGCAUAUGACAAAUCAGGUCUUGUUAAGACCAUUGCAUACAUUAGGCAGCCCACUGAGUUAGCAUAUGGAGUUUUCAACAUUUCAGUUUGUUCUGAUUCAGUGCUUGGGCACUGCUGACUUGAUAACCUGAAAUGAGCUGCCAUUGGAGUGGACACUGGUUUACAGUUCAGCAUCCCAAACUUCUCUAAAAUUUUGUUGACAUAUUUUUCUUGUGAUAGAAACAAGGUCCUGGCUGUUCUGUUCCUUAUCAUUUCAACACCUAAGAUCUUUUUUGCUGGGCCAAGAUCUUUCAUGUCAAACUUAUCUCUGAGUUGUUGCUUCAGCAGAUUGAUCAACUUCAUACUUUUACUUGCCAGAAGCAUGUCAUCAACAUACAGGACAAGAUAGAUCACUUCCUCCCCGUAGGUCUUUCUGAGAUAUACACAGCAGUCAUAACUGGAUUUCUGGAAAUUCAGUUCUUGCAUGUAGCUGUCAAAUUUCAAGUACCACUGUCUGGGGGACUGCUUGAGCCCAUACAAAGAUUUUUGAAGUAAGCAAACCCAAUCAGGAUGUUGAGUAUUCACAAAGCCCUCAGGUUGUGACAUUACAAUCUCCUCUUGUAGAUCACCAUGUAGGAAGGCUGUUUUAACAUCUAAUUGUUCAAGAUGCAUAUCAUAAACAGCUACCAGUGACAGAAUAAUCCUUAUUGAUGUGUGUCUGACUACAAGUGAGAAGACUUCAGUGUAAUCAACCCCUUCCCUUUGGGUAAAGCCCUUUGCUACCAAUCUUGCUUUGAAUCUCUUUGGUUCAACAUCAUGGAUUCCAUCUUUUAUUUUGUAGAUCCAUUUGCAACCCACAACCUUCCUUCCUUCUGGUUUUUUGAAUCAAUUUCCAGGUGCCAUUCUUAUUUAGAGAGUCCAUCUCAUCUUCCAUGGCCUUGAUCCAUUGAGUUGAUUCUUUACAUGCUAUAGCUUCUUCAUAAGUUUUUGGUUCCUCUUGAUCAACCUCCUGUGCUGCUGUCAAGGCAUAUGCUAUUAAGUCAGCAUAUCCCAAUCUCUCUGGUGCUUUAAUUUGUCUCUUCUGUCUGUCUCUGGUAAGCUGAUAAUCUUGUAUUGAGAUGUGCUCUAGUGUUUGAGCACUGGUCUCAUCUGAGCCUUGAGUUUCUCCAGUAUGACUUGUGUUCUGAUCAUCCUCAGUUUUUGAUAGCUCCACCUCAAAGUGAGGUGUCUCUGCACUUGGGAUUUUCUGAAUUGAGCUUUGAGUAGAAGUCUGAUUUUUCAGCAUCUCAGACUCAUUGAAAAUAACAUCCCUGCUUAUUAUGCACUUAGGUGGUUUAAGGUCUACACACCACAGCCUGUAACCCUUAGUUCCACUAGGAUACCCUAGGAAAGCACAUUUCAAUGCCCUUGGUUCAAGCUUGCCCUGCUUGAUGUGUGCAUAAGCAGUGCAGCCAAAAAUUCUCAACUUGGUGUAGUCAGCUAAUCUCCCUGACCAAACUUCAUAAGGUGUUUUAAGUUCUAUUGCAGUUGAGGGGCAUCUAUUUAUCAGGUAACAAGCUGUACACAAAGUUUCAGCCCAUAAUGUCUUUAGCAGCUUUGAAUGAAAUAGCAUGCAUCUAACUCUUUCCAUUAAUGUUCUAUUCAUUCUUUCUGCCAAACCAUUUUGUUGUGGUGUGUGCCUAACAGUUUUGUGUCUCUGGAUUCCACUCUUUUCACACAAAUCAUCAAACUGUUUAUUGCAAAACUCAAGUCCAUUAUCAGUUCUAACCCUUCUAACUUUUCUAUUAGUUUGAGUUUCAAUCAAGGUUUUUCAGGCUUUGAAUCUAUCAAAAGCCUGAUCUUUGCUCCUUAUUGGAUACACCCAUACCAUCCUAGAGAAGUCAUCUAUCAUAGACAAAAAAUAACAAGCUCCACCUAGAGAUUCAAUCUGUGCUGGUCCCCACAUAUCCGAGUGAAUAUAAUCCAAAGUACCCUUAGUAUUGUGCACUGCAGUUUUAAACCUGGUUCUUGAGGACUUUCCUAGGACACACUCCUCACAGAAUCCAACAGUACUUAUCUUAUCACUCCCUAGAGCUCCCUGUUUUUCUAGUUCUUUCAGCCCACUUUCACUUACAUGACCCAACCUGAAAUGCCACAGUAAAGUUUUAUCUAGUUCCUGUUUUAUCACUACCCCAACAUCCCCAGUUAUUGCUGAUCCUUGCAGUAUGUAUAAUCCAUGCUGCAUUACACCUUUCAUUAGUAUCAGAGACCCUUUAAUAACUUUUAAGGAGCUUGAUUCAAGUCUGAUGCAACACCCUGCUUUAUCUAACAUGCUUAGGGAAAUUAGAUUUCUUUUAAGCUCUGGAAUAUGCCUUACAUUAUCAAGUUCUCUAAUUAUACCAUCAGACAUUUUCAAUCUAACAGAGCCUAUACCAAUGACUUUACAGGAAGCAUUGUUUCCCAUCAAGACUUUACCUCCUUCAAAGGGUUGAUAGCUACUGAAUAAGUUUUUAUGGGGGCACAUGUGAUAGGUGCAGCCAGAGUCAAGAACCCAUUUACCUUCAGUUUCCAUGUUUGAAGCUACCAGAACACCAGCAGAGUCAUAUCCCUCAUCUGAAUCUUCAGAAGCAACAGCAGCAUUUCCACUUCUGUUAUUAGCAUCCUUAGGCUUAAUCUUUCUCUCAGGGCAAUCCCUUUUGAAGUGACCUUCCUUGUGGCAGUGGAAGCACUUCAAGGCACUGUUCUUAGAUUUUGAUCUUCCUUUCUUUUUUCCUUUCCAGCCAUCUCUCUUCUCUGAUCUCCCUCUUACUGACAACCCUUCACCAUCUUUUGUUUCUGAUUUCUUAGAGCUUUCUUUGGAACUCAAGGCUUCCUUGAAAUCUUGCAUGGCCAGUGAUUGUCUACCAUACAAGAGAGUGUCAACAAAAUGUUCAUAGGAAGAUGGUAAUGAAGAUAGCAGAAUAAUGGCUUUAUCCUCGUCUUCAAUCUUUACAUUAAUGUCUUCUAGAUCUAAAAUGAUCCUAUUGAAGGCAUCAAUGUGAGUAGUUAAAGAGCUGCCUUCUUCCAUCUGGAGUGUGUAGAGCCUUUUCUUUGUACUCAAUCUUUUUGUCAAAGAUUUCUUUGUGUACAAAUCCUCUAGCUUCUUCCAAAGGCCUGCAGUUGUUGUUUGGUCUCCCACUUCUCUAAGUACUCCAUCUCCUAGACUUAGGAUUAUAGUGCUGUGAGCUUUGUCCAUGGCUUCUUGCAUGUCUUCAUCUUUGACUUUGCUGAUCUUUUUCGAGGUUCUUGGAUCCUCCAGCACUUCUUCAAUUCCCUGGUGAACCAGCAAUGCUCUCAUCUUCAGCCUCCAAAGAUGGAAGUCAUUUUCUCCCGUGAACUUCUCCACAUCAAGUCUCUGUGUUGCCAUUCUUGCUCUCAAGAUUCAGAGAUGUGAGCUCUGAUACCAAUUUGUUGUAAUUAAGAAUGAGAAACCUUAAUUCUUUUACCCAAUAAAUCACCACACACUGAUCUUGUUAAGGAAAGAAUGAAGGAUCGAUAUAGAAAUCAGAUUAAGAAUAAGGGUAUUUUAAUCAGAGACAGGAAUUAAGAAAGAAUCAAGCAAAACGAAAUGCAAAGGGGAUUAUAGAGGUUCGGCUUUGCAGCCUACAUCCUCUUGAGAAACAGAAGCCAUAGCUUUUCUUUAUGCUUUAACAGAUUACAAGUAUUAGAGUAAUUGCUACAAGGAACGAUUCCUCCCAAGUAUAGCCCUCAAGGCUAUAUAUACAACUCAGAAAAGAUCCAGAUAUGUGAGUUGUACAACAGCUCUCAUUCUGGGUUUGUUUCAACAGACCCAGCAAACUCCCGCCAAUCCUAACUGUAUGUAACAGCUCUUCAAAUUGAAACGGCAUCAGCAGCUGCCGUUUAACUUAAGCUUGAUCGUGCAAGUCACGUGCGUUACUUAAGCCUUUCGUAUGAUAGUUGCUGGUUGUCAUACGGCAGUGUUAUCUGUAUGUUUGCUUUGUCGUUUCUCAUUCAAUUCUGGAAACGACAAAGUCGUCUCCUUCAGAAGGUUCUGAUUCAGGUUCACAUUUAACAACAUGCAUUGAAAGCUUAGAUCGUUUAAGAAAUUAUUAAUAGACACAUGUUUUAUUAGUGUCAUCUUUGGAUGAUAGUGAGGAUCAUAUGCCUAUUAAUAAUUCUUGAAUUGUCUAGGCUUGAACUGUUUGGGAAUGCAUAGUUUUCUAUGGUAGCUAGUAGCUGAAGUUUUUUUCCCACGUAAAAAUGAGUUUUUCGCAAGCUGCUUCUCAUCUUCUUUGGGUGCAUACUAGAUAACACAUAAACACUCAUAUAUCUAUGUCGUUGCUUGGAGAACUAAAGGGAGAUGCUGCCGAAAUUUCUAUAAACGUAGAAGAAAACUUUAAAGUACUUGAGAUUGAAGAAACUUAUGCAUUCUUGAGAGGGAUAUACGCGACCACUUACCUUUUGUAAAUAUGAAGGGAGUGUUGGACAUAUUGAUGGGAGUGGAGGAGCUGAGUUGGAUGGACGUAAUCGGUUAUAGUUUUGCUGAGUUAACUUGGUUUUGAGCUUGUAAUUUUGUUUAUAAAUGGAGUACUAUCUCCAAUGUUGGUUUAUAAAUAUGUUUCAGCUGGCUGACCUUUUUUUUUGUUUCUAGGUAACAUGCUUUGUAUCUGUAAUUGAUAACCAACUGAAGUUCUCAGCUGUGGGUGAGGAUAUUUCUUUACAGAAGGUAUUGGAAACUGUUUUUUACAUUAAUUAUUGUUGUAUAUAUACUUUAAUUUUCACGUCUUUUUCUCUGAUUCUUGUCGCUUUACUUGCUUUCAUAUAUAUAAAUUCUAAUGAAAUUAACCAUAAAAUUGUAUAAUGAUUUUUUAAUUAUAUUGCAAAACUGUGCACACACGAAAAUAUCUUGGUCAGUAGUAGAAAUGAAAAACUAAAAUGAUUUAUCUAACUAAUUUUUGUAGUGCAUUAAAAGGAGAUGGUAAUGGAGAAGAGUUGGGUUGGUUUGGCCAAUAGAUAUCUAAGUUAUAGAUUUUGCAUUUGAGAAUGUUGUUGGUGAUGCAAGAAUUUAUUAUCCUUGUAAGAAGUGUCGAAUAUUUCGUUUUAAGGGAAGUAGCAAGAGACCAUAUCAUUAUAAAUGGUUUUUGGUUAAAGUAUUAAAACUGGAUAUUGCAUGAUGAGCCAUCUUCAUCUUUGGAAUCUAACCAAGAAACAGGUUAGUCAUGACUCGGGUGCUGAUGAUGAUAUGGUUGGAAUGAUACAUGAUACAUCACGUAAUCAAAUAUUCAAUUCACACACAGCAUUGUUAUGGACUAUCAGUGACUUUCUAGCACAUGCCAACUUGUCUGAGUGGAGUAUUAAAGGUAAAUAAGCAUUCUUGUUUGCCAACAAAACACUAGAUCUAAUUGGUUGAUACAUAGUAGAAAAUUUUGUCACGUCGGUAACGUCGAUUUUUACCGACGAAUCAUAGGUUUCGAAAAUAUAGUGCCUUUUGAUAAAUCUAGAGAGUGGGGACAAGCACCUUCUCGGAUGUCUGGAGCUGAAGUGAAAAAGCAGUUGAAUAAUAUACUUACUGAGUUUAAGAUUGAAGACUUGAAAAGUGGAGAAUGAAUAAAAUGAGAGAAAUGAUAAGAUUACUUGGACGAAGAAAAGCAUAUUUUAUGAACUACCGUGUUGGGAGUUCAAUUUGAUUCAUCAUAAAAUGUGAGACAUGAGGGAGAGACAAAAGCUCAGGCUUGUCUGCAACCAUGUGGGCCCUCAUAAGCAAUUCGUGUACACAACUUGGUUCACCAAGCCCAACAACUUGAAGCAGGCAAAAUCCGGGAACGAUCCUUCUCCUUCGCAACCCUAGCUGCCUUAACCUUGUAUUUCUGAUAUUUAGUUAAAGAGUAAGAAGAUUGCUCCUCUGUCAAUUACCUUCGAGAGAGACUUUCUUUGUUUUCUUAGCGCUGAAAUGGCCUCCACAAGCUUGUUCAUGGCAGAAUGAAAGAAUAUUCUGAAUUUCAUUUUCAGGGACACAUCGUCUAAUAAUUUGGUCUGCACAAUACUUGAACAAAUACGGGUCAUCCCAAAAGAAAUUCUUUAUCUUUGCAAAGAAUUUAGUCUUGUCUUGUUUGGUCCAAUGCUCUGGAAGUUUACCUGUAACAAGAUAAUUAACUAUAUCAGCAUACCAAGGUAAUACUUCGACAUUCAUUAAUUGUUCAUCUGGAAAUGACUCAUUUAAUGGUAAUGGUUCUGUAAUUGUGUCAAAGUGAAGACGAGAGAGAUGGUCCGCCACAAUAUUUUCUGUGCCUUUCUUAUCCUUGAAUUCCAAGUCGAAUUCCUGCAAAAGUAACACCCAACGAAUUAGUCUAGCUUUUACAUCUUUCUUUGUGAGAAGAUAUUUAAGAGCAGCAUGAUCUGUGAAUAUAAUUAUUUUACAACCAAUGAGAUAAGAUCGAAAUUUUUCUAAUGCAAACACUACUGCUAGCAUUUCUUUUUCAGUAGUUGAAUAAUUCAACUGUGCAUCAUUCAAUGUCAUACUAGCAUAGUAAAUAACGUGGGGAAUUCGAUCAACUCUUUGUCCUAAUACUGCUCCUACUGCAUAAUCAGAUGCAUCACACAUGAGCUCAAAUGGUAAGCUCCAGUUUGGGGCCUGAAUGAUGGGUGAUGAUGUCAACAACUGCUUUAAUUUUUCAAACGCCAUUAGACAUGAAUCAUUAAAGAUAAAAUAUACAUCUUCUUUUUCAUUCACCGAUGCUUGCUUGUGAAAGCAAGGGUUUUAGUUACGCUUUCAACGCUGUCAAUGUAGUGAAGUUAAGCAUUCGUAGAAUAGUAUUACAAGACUGCUGAUAAAAUUUCACUUGCAGGCAUUUCUCACAAAAUUUCUGUGAUUUAAUGUGCUUUCAUGCACGCAAGUCCUAACGUUUCUGUGAUCACAAAUGAAACUGAAGAUAAAACAGAACAACUACCAAACCUUUCAAGCGUGACGAAGCCAUGAGAAUUGAUAGCUCAAUGUCAUGGGAUGAGUGUUUUGUCACUAAAACAGAACAAUAAUUUUGAACACACCAUGUGGCAUUUAGACCAUUUGAUAGUUUGUUUCAAACAUAUUUGUUUAUAAAAUACUUUUCUUCAUGGUUUUGGUCCCAUAAUUUUCUAUGUAUGUACAGGUUUUAUCGAUACCGCUUUUGACAAGUUACACUUACAUAGCAAUGCUAUCUGGGUUCAGCCUUGCCUUUUUGAUAAACUGUGCUUCUGUGAUGAAGAAUGUUUUAGCUGUAAGUGGAUAUCCUAAUCAUUGAUCCAUAUACUUAGGUUAUAUUAUCCAUCAGCAAGUAUGUAUAAAAUUAUUUUGUGUCUUUUUUUAUUAGAAAUGUUGUAAUUCUAUUUUACUCUUCCUGAAUUAUAACAUCAGGUGUCUAUAAUAACUAGGUUAUUCCUUCUGCAAAACAGAGCAGUGGUAAAUAUUUUUUUUCUUUUGUUUGUUUAGUACAUUUACAUGCUUUCAGCUUUUUCAAAUUUUGUAUGUGUCAAAGUUUAAAUUUAAUUUGUUGGUUUAUGCCACAACAAAAGGAACAGCAUCAAAGAGGAGCUGCUAAUGGACUUGCUAUGACUGUAGUGUCGCUUACCAAAACUGCCGGUCCAGCUGUAGGAGGUGCUCUGUGAGUGUCCUGUUGAUUUUGUAAAACUAUAUGUAAAUGAAGUUAUAAUUUUUUUUUCAUUAAUUGGGGUUCUGGCAGAUUUUCUUGAUCACAAAAGCGUCAAGAUGCUGGUUUCCUCCCAGGAUGAUGAUCUACUAAUGAAAUUUCUCGCGAGUUUGUGUACUAUUUCGUGCUAAUUCUUCAUUAGCUGCUUAAACAAAAGUGCAGGUAACCAGAUGGUUUUUUUUCAUUCUGAGGCACUUGGAGUAAUAUUGACAUCCAAACCGUUUCUAACUCAGCGUGCCCCGUGAGUAGCGAAAAGAGCAUCUGUUGAAAUAUUUAAAUAUAUAUCAAGCAAAUUAAAGCUUUCAAAAUCUAUCAACAAUUUGAUUAUUUGAUGUGGUUGCCACUUGCCAUAUUUUGUGUUACUGUUCAAAAGGCUUAAAUAUGAAAAUGGUGGUUGGCGCUCACAGCAACCGAUUGCUGGUAACAUUAAUUGUUCAACUUAUCUCUGUCGACAUUUAUACUUGUUCAUUGUCAGAACUACGACAAUUUAUCUUCACAAUGAUGCAAGCUAGAAAGAAUUUUUCAUGUUAAGUAAAACAUUGAAGCCAUAAAGAGUCUUAAUUGAGUACUAAGUUUUCUACCAUGCUUUCAACGGUAACACAUUUGGAGCUCUUAUUCCAGGGGCUUCACAGUAGAGAGACCUGAUUUCGACCUUCUUCAGAACUUGGGGAUUCCGUAAUAACAGAGGACAACAGUUAUAUAAGAAUAUUAUUUUGUACAAUUUUCGUAUAACCUGACCAAUGCAAGUAUAAUUUUAUGAUCUUAACUCAGAUCAAAAGACCUUCAAUGAUGUAAAAUUUGCACAUAAAGUUGAGAACCAAACAUUAGAACUUAUGAUGAAACGGAAACAAAAACGUUGAGAUUAAAAGAUAGAGAAACACAAGCUUUUUAAAAGGGAUAAAUGCUCAUUUAAUUUCUAUAUUUUGAUUUAAGAGUGCAUUUAAUUCUUAUAUUUUAAAAAGUUCCUCAACCUUAAGACACCCCCUACUAUAAAAUAUAUUUCAUUCCUACCCUUAUUUUUUUUCUUUUUACAAUAAUACUCUUGGAAUAAUAUUUUUGGGAAUAUUAAUGAAAAUAAAAAAUGGUAAUUCAUCCAGCCAGCCUUAAACAAAGUAAAUAUUAAUAAAAAAUUUUAUGUUAUUAUUUUAGUUUUAGGACUAAUAUCGUAAAUUAAUUUUUUUAUGCAUUUAUUAGUAAGAUUGCUUUAAGAAUAUUAAACAUUACUUUAAGUUGGUUGAUAUUAAUUAAUUUAUAAAUAAUUAUUAGCAAGAUUGUUGUAAAAGUACAAAAAUAUUUUCAUAUUGAUAUUUAUUGAUUAAUUUGUCAAUUAAUUUUUUUAUAAAUAAAUUAAUUAAUUUAAGAAUAUUAUUGCCAGGAUAUCAUUGUAAAAGUAAAUAAAUUUUAAGGAAAAAAAUGUAAUGUAUUUAAUAUCAAAGUAUAUUGAGAUAUUUUUCAAAAUAUAAAGACUAAACGUGCAUUGAAGUUAAAAUACAGGUACCAGACGAGCAUUUUCUCUUUUAGAAAGUUUUAUAUUUUAUAAAUGAAAGUUUGAAUAACAAAAUUAGGGUUUUGGACUCCUUUUAAACUAAACCUAAAAUAUUACUACAUAAUAAUAUUCUCCUAACUGAAAUAAGAUAAAUGCUACUUAAAUUCUAUAUCUAAAAAAAAAGAUAAAAAUCCAGAAAACAAUAGGAAAAUGGAUAUUAAACUUGUAAAAUAAUAUGAAAUAUAUAUAAUUUUCAACCGAACCACGAGGCUAAUGCGGCGCUAUAGUAUUAGAUUAGAUUCCCCUCAUCCCAAACUUCAAAAGGUAUAUUAUACACCGUAAAUAGAUACUUAUAGCUCAAGUUGUUACCCUAGAGAGAUAAUCUACUCAUCCUAUGCAACCAUCCGCUGCAUCAAAUUCGUUCCAAAAUUAAGAAUAAACCAGCUGAUGCAUUCCAAACAAUUUAGAUGAACCGAUAAAAUAAACCUAGAGAUCAAAUAAAAUCAAAUGAGAAUGAUAAUUACCUCGGACUGAAGCUCAUACAAAUUCAUUAUUUGACACCUCCAGCAAUUGUUGAAAUAAUUGUUAAUUAAAUAUAAAAUAAGACAGGUACAUAUUAAUGACACACCACUGUGAAUCGAUAGCUAAGGACGGAGUAAAAUUUAAUUGUAAAUUAGGACAGUAGAGCAAGCAUCCAUAAACAUAACAUGAACGUAAUACAUCAAUUGAAAUAUCAUACGAUAAAUUAGUCAGAGAAAGAAAUAAGUAAAUAAAUCAGCAAAGGAAACAUGCAUGAACAAAUAAAAAAAAAAACAAAGACAAAAGUAGGAAGAGUUGUCUGUGAGAAUCUUCUUCUAUGGUCAUUGAAGUCCCAAACUCAAUGGAAAUUCAAUGGAACCUUAAAAACGAACAGUGAAGGAAAAUGAAGAAAUCUGCAGGAAAUAAGGCGAGUGAGAGUGAAGAAUUAAUUACCACCGAGUAAAUGCGAAUGAAGAAUGGAGACAGAUCGAGAAGUGAGAUUCAGAGAUUGUAUUGAAAUUGAGAGUUGUGAUCCAGAAGCGAUUCUUCUUCUCCGUAAUUCCCUUUUUCUUUUAAUGUUGUUGUUAUUAUUAUUAUAUAUAUAAGAAGCGGUCCUGAUUAGUACUUCUAGAUUUUCUCUUGGGCUUUCCUUAUUAUUGUUAAAAAAUGACACGAAGAACUUUGAGUUUAAAAAUCUGGCCCUGAUGCCUGGUAGCCCUUCAACAUAUGAAGCACCAAAUGUUUUGAUGAGAAAAUGACAAGACCAUUUAUCAAAUUUCUUGUGGAUAUAAAUACAUACACAUAGACGAGGCCAACCUCCUCAAAUGAGAAUCAGAGUGAUUACAAGACCUUGCAAUGAGACAAUGAUACACCAUCAAAUGUCAAAAUACAAUAGAAAUUCACGACAUAUAUAUAAUAAAAGACCUCUCAUUGAGUCAUAUAUAUUGAGAAUAAAAAUGUUAUAAUACAUACACAGAGCUUAGUUAGAAUAAAAUGUCUUUGAACUUGCGAUGAUCAAACAAAGGAAACAGACAGGUUGUAACUCACACUAUCACAAGAAGAUCACGAAGAUGGAAAUGGGAACCCAUCAGAAUGGAAACUUUGAAUAGAUGAAAAAAGAAAAACGACCUUAUUCACAGAAGAAGAGUGACUUAAAUCUUCAUCAGUAUCCAGACAUUUUGCAAUCAUAGAGUAGAGAAAUUUUAACAGGAACAGCAGAGAAAAUAUUAUGAAUAUGCUAUAGACCAAUAUACUUGUUCAUAGCUAACGUUUGAUGGUUUAAGGAUUUGUUCUAGGAAUAAUGGGCUGAUUACUUUCUUUUUAUUUUAAUUUUUUUUUAAUCCAAUGAAUGAUAUUCAGCUGUUAAUUAUGUGUUCAUAGGGAAGAACAUUUUCUAAGUACUUUCCUUGCCUUCUAACUUUCCGAAAAGCAAACCCAAUGAGCAAACAGAGCACAAACUAAAAUAAAAGAACAGCAAUGAUAACAAUAAAUAAUUGGCAAAGAAAAAAAGGAAAAAGUAUGCACGUUUUCAAGGAAUUAUAAAAUACGAAGGCUUUUAAUGAAAUUUUAUCAUAAAAACGUACGCAAGGAGUUAUAAAAAUUUUAGAAGACGAAGGGAGCUCCCAAAAAAAAAAAAAAGAAGAAAAAGACUCAAAUUAAACUAGACUAAAAAGACAUUCAAUUAUGCAAAAUCUGUCCAUAAAAGUCUGAAAGGAUCAUUAAAAUUGCAUUGCAAAUUUAACAGUAAACCGAGGGACCCAUUCUAAAUAAUUCAGAUGAAAUUGUGAAACAAGACAUGGGAUUAAAUAAAUGAAAUAAAAAUUAAUUACCAGUUGAGACUUUCUUCUAAAAAUUCGCAACUCCAAGUCAUAAGAAGCCUAUGAAAUUAGUCGUACUGCGUAGAGUAUGACGACGACACCGCCAACAGCUGAAAGUAAAAUUCUUAUUCAUCAAUUUAAACUUACUUUAUAACAAAUAUCUUAUCUAUAUUGUAUUUAAGAAAGCAAAUUUUGUAAAAAUUUAUCAUGGGAGAUAGAGAGUAAUAUGUAUAUACGUACCUUCUCAGCAUGUAAUUGUUGUAUGGUUGUGUUUAGAUCAUUAUUAGCCCAGCGCCGUUGAUCCGCUGUCUCUCCAUAGCAGACGUUUACUCUUAGAGGCGUGAUUGAUUCUCCUGUAGUGAAAAUCUUCAUCUUGGGACAACCAAUCACAUCCAGAUAUUCCAAAGAUGGGAAUUUGAAGGUGUAAUUGGCAGAACAGAAACUUGUGAGGCUAUCUAAAUCAAACAGUCCCAACGUCUUCAAUUUGCUAAAAACAAUCUCUUCUUUUUCAACUCCAUCUUUGUCAUUUAUUACCACCUCUGUCAUUGCUCUGCAUCCAUAUAUUUCUAUUGCUAUGAGUCGCACCAGAGUUUUUGCUGUGGAGGAUGUUACCAAGUGUAUCAAUUCCUUGCAACCGAAAGCUACAAGUUUUGUUAGGUUCCCAAAAGAUACCGAUGAUGAUGGCAAUAGAAUUAACAGACUUUGACAAUGAUAUACUUUUAGAAUUUCAAGAUACUGAAAAAUGGGGCCAAGUUUGGAGUCUUGCUUGCACAGCUGCUCCAGAUGAUAGUGCCAGCGCAGCUGUAAUUCUUUUAUCAUUGCCAACUUCCCCACAUGUUUCUCUAAGCAUCCUUCCAUCGAAAAUACCUCUUCGUGGGAUGAAAAAAACAACAGUGUGAGUAUUUCGAGAUUGUGAAAUCUCUCCAGUACGUUCCAGAUUGUAAAACCAGCUGAGUCAUCUGCAGCAAUCUCUAGUUCUCUAAGACUGCCAAAAAGGUGUUGUGGGAAAUCGGCCUGCAAAAUCAUCUUCACAUCUUUUCCACUUAGUGAUAGUUCCUUCAAGUUGGGUACGAUCUGAUCAUCAUCAAUCAUAAUAACUAAUGAGGUCAAUUGAUGAUCUACGGUCACACGCAGUGACUUUAUAGUAUUUGUUUUAUAUUAUAUUUUUAAAAAAAAUUGAAUUAUUGAUAAAAUUUAUUUUAUAUGUUAAUUUUAGAGGUAAAAAAGAAAUUAGGGAAAAAAGGUUGAUUUAUACUGGCUUGAAAUUAUUUUAUUGCACAAUAAUAAAUUACUAAUUUAUUUUGUAAGUUCUUCUAUAUGGAAAGACUAAGGAUUCUUUUAUAAAUGCUAUACCUUAAAAAGUUCAUAUAAUUAUUAAUCUACCACAUUGAUCUCUUAAUCUAGACUAGCAAAGAUUAUUGUAUAAUAAAAGUUUUCAAUUUAUUGAGUGUUAAUUUAUCGAUGCUUUGUCAUUUUUUUCGAAGUUAAAAAUACGCUAUUGAUAAAAAAUCUAGAAAAUGGCUUCGUACCUUUUCCAACGGCAAUAGGGGCUGUUGUGCAGGAAUACCAAGUUGAUCAUUCUCAUUAUUCUGCGAUAAAUCUGCAUCGAAUAUCUUUAAUUUGUCACAACGACCCACUAAAAGAAUUUCUAGUGCGGGCCAUUCCGAAGUAUGCAUUCCAGGGUACAAACAUCUAAGUUUUGGUAGACAUUCGAGUCUUAGAGUCUCAGAGUGGUGAGCUGUGGAAAGACAAAAUAAGGGAUAACUUCAUCUGCUCUGUUUUCAGAAAUGAUCUCCUCUAAAUCCUCACAGAAGCGUAUAUCUAGGUGUUGGAGCUGCUUAAGGCUUUCGAUCAUAGACGCUGAAAAUAUGUAUUUUAAUUUGUGACAACGCCACGCGAUCAAUCGUGUUAAAUUUUGAAAGCGAGGAAACACGGCCGCCGGAAUUUGAUUGUAGUGCCAAAUCUUGUCGACAUUAAUAUCAGAUAUCUCCAAAGCCUCCAAGUUAGGCAACGCAACCUAAAAGAAUAAGAAUUUCUGGUUAGAUCCAAUAUCCAUAUGGGAAGCACUUGUUGAAAUUUUCUUCUUUGAUUACAAAUUAAUGCAAGUCUGAAUCAAUUUCCAACUGACAGCUGAGUAUGCAUUCUAAUUCAUACUACUUGUUAAGAGCUCAAUUAGUGAGCGCGUGAGAUUCUUUUUAUCCUUUUUUCCAUUUUCUUUCAAUUCUUUAAAUGAUUUAAUUAUUUUCCACGUAUGACAUCAAAACAGAACGCAUGAUAGAAUAAAGAAAAUGUUAGCCUACGCACCUUCUCGUUGAAAAGCAGAGUUGAAGUAUCCAAAGUGAUUUCGCUGGAGCUAUACGUAGUCGUCGAUUCCUCCUGCGACGCUGGUCUGUUUGGUGAUGCUGAAGGAGUCUUCACGUCACGGCAAAAACUUGUAAACUCUGGAAGAUUCCCCAGACUCAAAGAUCUUAAUUGAGCAAACUCUAUCUUCUCAAUUGCAUUAUCAACUUCUUCCCCAAUUGCAAAAAUCUCUUUCAUCUUGCUGCAAUUAAUAACUGCAAUUCUCUCAAGUCUUGGAAGGCAUUUUGUUGUAGAGAGCCAAAAGAUAUUACUCAAUUUAUCACAAUUAUAUGCUUGUAUGAUUUUGAGUUCGUUGAAGGACUCUACUUUGAGCCGAUCAAUACAUAUCCUCUCCAUGUUGAUCAAAUUGUGAAGGCCAAGUGACUCCAAAAGAGGAAAGGCAUCACAAGCGACCAUCGCCCUUGAAUCGACGAUACAAAAGAUGUCAGGAUUAUUUUGAACCCAGAGAAGCUUCAAUUGUGAAAAGCCCUCUGUGUCCAAAUUGAAAAGAACAUUCUCGAUGCCUUGCAGCUUGUCCAACCAUAAGCAUUCUACGUUAUUGAUGCCCUGCAAUUUCAUGGAGCAAAUGUCCAUAAAAGCAAGCUUGAGCUUCAAUGCUCUUAAACUCUUGCGAUCACUUUUGCGAGAAAAGCGCCGCAGACUUUGGAACCAAUUUUGUUCAGCAAUCAUGGGAUGUGUGCUAUACCUUAAAAAGUUCAUAUAAUUAUUAAUCUACCACAUUGAUCUCUUAAUCUAGACUAGCAAAGAUUAUUGUAUAAUAAAAGUUUUCAAUUUAUUGAGUGUUAAUUUAUCGAUGCUUUGUCAUUUUUUUCGAAGUUAAAAAUACGCUAUUGAUAAAAAAUCUAGAAAAUGGCUUCGUACCUUUUCCAACGGCAAUAGGGGCUGUUGUGCAGGAAUACCAAGUUGAUCAUUCUCAUUAUUCUGCGAUAAAUCUGCAUCGAAUAUCUUUAAUUUGUCACAACGACCCACUAAAAGAAUUUCUAGUGCGGGCCAUUCCGAAGUAUGCAUUCCAGGGUACAAACAUCUAAGUUUUGGUAGACAUUCGAGUCUUAGAGUGGUGAGCUGUGGAAAGACAAAAUAAGGGAUAACUUCAUCUGCUCUGUUUUCAGAAAUGAUCUCCUCUAAAUCCUCACAGAAGCGUAUAUCUAGGUGUCGGAGCUGCUUAAGGCUUCCGAUCAUAGACGCUGAAAAUAUGUAUUUUAAUUUGUGACAACCCCACACAAUCAAUCGUGUUAAACUUUGAAAGUGAGGAAGCACGGCCGCUGGAAUUUGAUUGUAGUGCCAAAUCUUGUCGACAUUAAUUGCAGAUAUCUCCAAAGCCUCCAAGUUAGGCAACGCAACCUAAAAAAAGAAGAAUUUCUCGUUAGAUCCAAUAUCCAUAUGGGAAGCACUUGUUGAAAUUUUCUUCUUUGAUUACAAAUUAAUGCAAGUCUGAAUCAAUUUCCAACUGACAGCUGAGUAUGCAUUCUAAUUCAUACUACCUGUUAAGAGCUCAAUUAGUGAGUGCGUGAGAUUAUUUUUUUCCCCAUUGUUUUCAUUUUCUUUCAAUUCUCUAAAUGAUUUAAUUAUUUUCCACGUUUGACAUAAGAGAACGCAUGAUAGAAUAAACUCUGUUAUAUAUAUAUAUGAAUAAAAUGUUAGCCUACGCACCUUCUCAUUGAAAAGCAAAGUUGAAAUAUCCAAAGUGAUUUCGCUGGAGCAAUACAUAGUCGUCGAUUCCUCUUGCGACACUUGUCUGUUCGGUGAUGCUGAAGGAGUCUCCACCUCACGGCAAAAACUUGUAACCUCUGGAAGAUUCCCCAGACUCAAAGAUCUUAAUUGAGCAAACUCUAUCUUCUUAUUUUGAACCUUUCGAGCUUUCUGGCCAAAAAACCUUCUGGUAACAUACUGUCAUUUUUAACAUCAAUUUCUAGAGUGGUUAGCCGAGGUAAAUGCAUCAAUUCAUCAAGGCUAGCAUUACUUCUUUUGCUGUUGGCUCUUUCAACCUCCCAUUCAAUGGAGCAAUUACCCAUAUACAGCUCUUCUAAUCGGAUUAAGCUUGAUAUGACAUUUGGGGCAAUAACUUUCAGACGGAAACAAUUGGUUAAAUCUAACAAUCUCAACUUAUUCAAUUGACCUAGUUCUUCUGGCAACUGCGUUAUAUCAGACUUCAAAAAGCUAAGGACUUCUAGAUUCUUCAACUUCCCAAUGAUUGCUAUGUCGCCCAACGCACUUUUAUCCAGACAUAGUGUGUGAAGAUUUACUAGAAGAUCAAUUGAAGAUGGAAAAGAAGAAAACUGCAUUCGAGUAAAAUCUAGAAUUCUAAGCUUUUUCAUCCCUACAAAAAAGUUCUCAGGAAUAUUGAUUUCAAGAGAAAAAUCUUUGAGAGAGAUAUAUAAAAAUUCAAGGUUUGGGCAUUCUAAUCCUUCAGGAAAUUCACGAUUACUAUUUUUUAUUAAAGAGAUAGCUUUGCAAUUUCGAAGUGCAUCCUUAUCUGGCCAGUCCCACACAUCCUCAUUCCUCACCGAAAACACAUGUUGCUGGCGGCAUGCAAUUGAUAUCGCGACAUCGCGAACAACAUCAUGCAUUGACAAUUGUUCAUUGCUCUCACCCUCAAGCAACAAACAAGAGUCUCUAAGUUCAUGGACCAAUGCAUAUAAUUUGUCUCGUGCAUCUUCCAUCUUAUUGACUCCUUUAAAUAUACCCAAACCCAUGGAGUACUUAAACAAGUCGAAAGUAAAAAUACGGUUACCCAUUAGACUGCAGAGCUGAAAAAUUUCCUUGCGUUCACCUUUUAAUUGGUUGAAACUCAGCUCAAUACUUGCAUAAGUCUCUGCAGAUACUCCUUCGAAGUUUACCAUUGAAGGCGUUCGGAGUUCUCGCAAGGAAUUCUUCCAUUCAUGCAGACUCUUGCCUCUCAAUGCCUUUGCUACCGUACUCAAGGCAAUGGGCAAACCUCCACAUGCCCUGGCGACGUCUAUUGCUGUAGAUUUCAACUCACGAUUUUCAACAUCAUCACCGGCCAUCAUCUUAAACAAUCUCCCGGCUUCUUCUUCUUUUAAGUUGUUUAUCAAAAAGUUGUCUUUGGAUCCCAUUUGUAAGAGGACACUACGAUCUCUUGCUGUCAGCAGUAGUUUGCAUCCUUUAUGAUCUUCUGCAAAAGGAAUUCCAACAGUCUCCAAAUUAAGGUGUUUCCAGAUGUUAUCUAAAACCACAAGGAUCUUCUUCUCAUUUCUCAAUCGCUCAAAUAGUCUACUUGCUCUUCCAGAUUCAACUUCCUCGCGCAACUCCAGGCCCAACUUCUCGGCAAUUUCCUGUUGAAUCUUUUUUAUGUCUGGAGUUUGCGAAACCUCUGAAAAGACCACCAUAUCAAAGAGCUUGGCUUCCAUAGCUUGCCUGGAGACCUCCUUCACCAGUGUCGUCUUUCCAAUGCCGCCCAUGCCGUACACCCCAAUGAUGCUAACAUCGAUCAAUGCUUUUUUUAUAGCCUCCAAAGUAGAACGUCUUGAUUCGAAGGCCUCGUAGCCUAUGUGAGACUUGAGCCAAAUCUCCUCCGGAAUGGUACGGUGGGAAACAAUAUCAAACUUCUUUACUUCUUCUCCAAGUUCAACAAGGGCCUUCAUUUCUGUCUCUGCUUUCUUGCUAAGCUGAUAGCGGGUCUUCAAAUUAGGACACAAGCCCUUGAGACAACGCUUAUUCGUUGACUCCUCAUUUUCAAUGAAUUUGGCUGCCCUGUCAAUGAUGUCGUUCGCACUAACCAGCCACUUUUCAACCUUCUCUUCAAUCUUUUCUCCUUUUCUUUCAGCCUCAGAAACUCUGUGCUGAAUGCUCCUACUUUCAUCCUUGAGUUCAUCAAAUUUUGCCCUGAGAUUCUCAAAGUUGGUUUUAUAGUUACGUAAAUAACCAAGUUGGCGUUCUGCUAGAGGAGCCAAGCAUUUCACAACUUCCAAAACAACAGUAAUAAUGGUUUCCACCAUCUUUGAUCCUUCUAUUUUUUUUUUUUUUUUGAGUUCUGAAAAGCAAAUAAACAAGAGCCAACCACAGAAGAGAAAAAAGAAGAAACAACAAAGAUGGACAGUUUAUCUGGUUGUGGAAGCGGAGAAAUGAAAGAAAGCGUAACAACUGAUUGAAUAAAUAUAAGGAGGGAUUUAGAUAAUAAAGGAGAAAGGAACCAAUCAAAAUAACUUAAGUAUAGACCAAAAGAAAGAUGAAAAAUAUAUUAUAGACCACAACCGAAUGAACAAAAGAAGAUGUCUUGACACAGCAGAAGUGCAGAGAGUAGAUAUGGAACAAAACAGAGACAACAGCAGGACACAACUAAAUUGGGAGCGGAGAGAAACUAAUCAACAAGGACUGAGAGAUUACAACAAAACAGAUGCCAAGAGAAAAGGGUUUCCUGAUCCUGUGAAGCUCAAGAGAGUUAACGGCAAUAGGGAGCAAACAUUAAUAACAAAACAACAGUGACUACAACGAACGAACGCAUAUGUUUUUCUUGAUUGAGAAUAAGUUCAAAGAAUGACUUUUUAAUGAGGUGCUGAAGCUGAAGAAUAACGAUUUGCUAAAAUUUUAAGAAUGCUAUAUAUUCUGUAAAUUCAACAAGUGAAGAAUAAAGAAUAAUGGUUUGUCAUCUUCACGAUGAAGAUCAUGGGCGAGAUUAAAAGCAAAAGUGAAGAAUAAAGAAUAAUGGUUUGUCAUCUUCAUGAUGAAGAUCAUGGGCGAGAUUAAAAGCAAAAGUGACCUAUUUGAAAAGCCAAAGUUCAAGUUCCUUUGCUAAGCUUAGAAGUGAAGCAAAGAAUAAAUAAAUAAAUGAGUAAUGAUCAAGGGAUCGGAAUGAAGUGUUAGAGUACAAUUUAUGCACUAGUUUUGCAUUAUUUACUUCUUUUAAUAUCGAUGUUUUGCACUUAAUAAUAGUGAUUUACUUGUGUUUUAUUUUGGUAGGUGCAAUUUUAUUGAUUGGUGCUAAAAUUGAGCUACAAGAUGAUGUUUGAGGAUGAUUGUUUUCUUGAAGAAAUUAUGAGCUUCAGAAGAACUUUGUUGAUAAGGUGUGGGCGCAUGCUGUCAACUACGGACCUGCAGUUUUUAGUUUAACGUGUUUUGUAUUUUUAGUUAUUUUUGUAAUUACGCAUUUAAUAUUUAGAUAAUAUUUUAGAAAUUAGUAUUUUAUUUUAAAAAGAACUCUAGAGGAGAAGAGAGAGAAGAGAAUUUAAGGGAGGAAUCUAUUGUCAAAGACGGGAGAUUUUUGAAGAGAAAGAAACCCUAGAUCUAAAUUUUUCUCUCCUGUCUAUGAAGAACUAAAUCUAUUAUUCUGGUUGAAGGUUAAUGAACUUUGAUUCAUCACUGCUGUGAGAUCUUUCUUAUACUUUAAUUAUUUUAUUACUUUUUGGGUAUUUGUUUAUUCUCUGAAUUAUUGUCAUGAUUAUGUUUGUUAAUUAGAUAAUUGGCUACUAUUUAAUUAUCAACUUAAUCUAUUGUCAAUUAAAAGAUUUAUCGUAUGAAGAUUUUAAUGUUUGUGACAAAUAGCAUAGCAGUGCAUUGUGUUAUGAGAAUAAACAAUCUAAUUUAAAUGAAUCAUCGUAUGCGUUUGUUGAUUAGGAUUUGGGUCUCUCUGAUUUUUCAGACUGUCAAUUGAUUAAAUCCUAUGAUCGUAUCUAGGGUUGUCUAUUGAUUAGGAAAAUAACCAACAAUCGUACCUUAAAACUAAUGUAGCAUGUGCAUGGAUCCCUGAAAAAAAUAGCGAAAGCGCUUGGUGGCCUGGCAAAGACUUGCAUCUCUUAACACCGUCAAGAACAUAAUGACAAAAAUUAUAUAUAUAUAUAAAGACUCAAGUCGUCCAUUUCCUUUUUCUUUUAAUGUUGUUAUUAUUAUUAUUAUUUAUUUUUUUCAAUUUCAUGAUAUCUUUUUUGUUUUAAACAGUAUUGGCAUAUUACAUUUAUUUAUGUUAAUUUUACAAUACCUCCCUUCAGAUUGCACAAAUUACAUUAAAAAAAAAAGUGCUUUAUGUAUAAAACUUUCAAACAAAUUGGGCCAAAAUCUAACUUUACCAAGUUUAAAGUAAUUUUGGGCUCGACAUUCCAUUUCCGACAAACGAAUUUUCUUUAUCACCGAGGUAUGAUACUUUUCAUAUUUAUCCAACGGCUCAUCAAUGACAAUACCUUUGUAAAAAGUACUUAUUUUCAAUAGUAUAUUGUGGAAAUGUCUGGUCGGUAAUACAACUAUUUCUUAUAGUGCAAAAAUGAUACACUAAUCGUUCACAUUUUGAUGGGUAAUCCAACAUAUGAAGCACUAGAUGUUUUGAUGAGAAAAUGACAAGACCAUUUAUCAAAUUUCUUGUGGAUAUAAAUACAUACACAUAGACGAGACCAACCUCCUCAAAUGAGAAUCAGAGUGAUUACAAGACCUUGCAAUGAGACAAUGAUACACCAUCAAAUGUCACAAUACAAUAGAAAUUCACGACAUAAAUAUAAUAAAAGACCUCUCAUUGAGUCAUAUAUAUAUUGAGAAUAAAAAUGUUAUAAUACAUACAAAGAGCUUAGCUAGAAUAAAAUGUCUUUGAACUUGCAAUGAUCAAACAAAGGAAACAGACAGGUUGUAACUCACACUAUCACAAGAAGAUCACGAAGAUGGAAAUGGGAACUGCUCAGAAUGGAAACUUUGAAUAGAAGAAAAAAGAAAAACGACCUUAUUCAUAGAAGAAGAGUGACUUAAAUCUUCAUCAGUAUCCAGAUAUUCUGCGAUCAUUGAGUAGAGAAAUUUUAACAGGAACAGCAGAGAAAAUAUUAUGAAUAUGCUAUAGACCAAUAUACUUGUUCAUAGCUAACGUUUGAUGGUUUAAGGAUUUGUUCUAGGAAUAAUGGGCUGAUUACUUUUUUUUUAUUUUAAUUUUUUUUAAUCCAAUGAAUGAUAUUCAGCUGUUAAUUAUGUGUUCAUAGGGAAGAACAUUUUCUAAGUACUUUCCUUGCCUUCUAACUUUCCGAAAAGCAAACCCAAUGAACAAACAGAGCACAAACUAAAAUAAAAGAACAGCAAUGAUGACAAUAAAUAAUUGGCAAGAAAAAAAAGGAAAAAGUAUGCAAGUUUUCAAGGAAUUAUAAAAUAUGAAGGCUUUUAAUGAAAUUUUAUCCUAAAAAGUAUGCAAGGAAUUAUAAAAUUUUAGAAAACAUGGGGAGCUCUAAAAAAAAAAGAAAAACUCAAAUUAAACUAGACUAAAAGACAUUCAAUUUUGCAAAAUCUGUCCAUAAAAGUCUGAAAGGAUCAUUAAAAUUGCAUUGCAAAUUUAACAGUAAACCGAGGGACCCAUUCUAAAUAAUUCAGAUGAAAUUGCGAAACAAGCCAUGGGAUUAAAUAAAUGAAAUAAAAAUUAAUUACCAGUUGAGACUUUCUUCUAAAAAUUCGCAACUCCAAGUCAUAAGAAGCCUAUGAAAUUAGUCGUACUACUGCGUAGAGUAUGACGACGACACCGCCAACAGCUGAAAAUAACAUUCUUAUUCAUAAAACGACAAGACCAUUUAUCAAAUUUCUUGUGGAUAUAAAUACAUACACAUAGACGAGACCAACCUCCUCAAAUGAGAAUCAGAGUGAUUACAAGACCUUUCAAUGAGACAAUAAUACACCAUCAAAUCUCAAAAUACAAUAGAAAUUCAUGACAUAUAUAUAAUAAAAGACCACUCAUUGAGUCAUAUAUAUUGAGAAUAAAUUUUUUUUAAUACAUACAAAGAGCUUAGCUAGAAUGAAAUGUCUUUGGACUUGCGAUGAUCAAACAAAGGAAACAGACAUGUUGCAACUCACACUAUCACAGAUGUAGCGACACAAUGCAGUGAAUCACAAGAAGAUCACGAAGAUGGAAACGGGAACCCCUCAGAAUGUAAACUUUGAAUAGAGGAAAAAAGGAAAACGACCUUAUUCACAGAGGACGAGUGACUUAAAUCUUCAUCAGUAUCCAAACAUUCUGCAAUCAUAGAGUAGAGAAAUUUUAACAGGAACAGCAGAGAAAAUAUUAUGAAUAUGCACUGAUUACUUUUUUUUUUUUUAAUUUUUUUAAUCCGCUGCUGUACCGUACAUCCGCCUUGGCCGUACAGCAGUCUCUUAAAACACUAAUCACUCAAGAGCAUUAAAACUCUUAGUCUCUCACUCUAGAAUUGAAGAAGAAAAGAAUGAAAUGCAGGGGUGAACCCCUCAUUUAUAGUUAAAAAUUUGGGCACUAUUUAUAUUUUUAUAUAUUUUUUUUAAAUUAAAAGUUUGAACUUGACAUUCAAACUUUGAAUAUCAAAAGGUAUUGGUCGCUCUUCUAGAAAAGCGACAUUGACUUUGAUAUUCUCCCACUUAGAAAUUUGAUUGAGAAUCAAUCAAUCUCCACACCAUCCUUUCUGCUUCGUCGCUAUCAUGUUGCUUAUGUCUCUACUAGGCCAUAAAAUGAUAUACUCCAAACAAAUUUAUCAGCAUUGAUAGGCUUGGGCAAAACAUUUGUUAAGUUCUCCUUGGUAUCCACUCUUAUAUCUUUCACUACUUCACGAAGAAGUGAUAUUGUACUCCUAUAUUCUUUGUCCUAAAAUAAAAGGUUGGAUUCCUUGCAUUUUAUUAGCCCAGCGCCGUUGAUCCGCUGUCUCUCCAUAGCAGACGUUUACUCGGCGUGAUUGAUUCUCCUGUAGUGAAAAUCUUCAUCUUGGGACAACCAAUCACACAUAACUCUUGCAAAGAUGGGAAUUUGAUGGUGUAAUUGGUAGAGCAGAAACUUGUGAGGCUAUCUAAAUCACGCAGUUCCAACGUCUUCAAUUUACUGGUGAAGUAGGUCCAUAGCUAAAAUAAAAUUGGAAGAAAAUGAAGAGCAAGCACACAGAGGACACUAAAAAUUACGUGGUUCGACUUUUAACAUACGUCUAUGGGUAAAGACAAAAGGAUAAAACUUUAGUGGUGAAAUGAGGAUUACUAGUAUUAUAAUAUUUUGUUUCACUUCCCAGAACCCCAAUCCACUCAAUCUCUUAAAACACUAAUCACUCAAGAGCAUUAAAACUCUUAGUCUCUCACUCUAGAAUUGAAGAAGAAAAGAAUGAAAUGCAGGGGUGAACCCCUCAUUUAUAGUUAAAAAUUUGGGCACUAUUUAUAUUUUUAUAUAUUUUUUUUAAAUUAAAAGUUUGAACUUGACAUUCAAACUUUGAAUAUCAAAAGGUAUUGGUCACUCUUCUAGAAAAGUGACAUUGACUUUGACAUUCUCCCACUUAGAAAUUUGUUUUAUUAAGAUUUUCUGCAAAAUCUGAAUGCACAAAGCCCUUGACAGUAAAUUCUAAUCCUUCGCAGCAUAAUGCAACAUCUGAUGUUCCUCUGAUAUUUCUCAGAAUCCUCUUAAUAGUCUUCCAAUGUUCUUUGCAAGGAUUCGCUAUGUAUCGACUAACCUCUCCCACUACUUGUACAAAUCAUAGCGAACCUUAAAUUUUCCACUGCUGAUGCAUACAGUACUCAAGACAUCUCUUCUUCUCUACUUCAUUACUAGAUGAAUACUUAAGAAUAACUUGAAAUUAAUGGGAGGCGGGGUAGAAAGCCAAAUCUUUUUGCUAUUACUAUCUCGGUGAAUUUGCAUCCCUAAAAUCUUGUUUGCUGGUUCUAAGUCUUUUAUUUCAAACUCCCUAGUUAACUGUGCUUUAGUUCUUGGACUCGAUCUUUGUUGGGGCCUGCUACUAAUAUGUCAUCAACAUACCACAGUAGAAUGAUGAAAUUAUUAUUAUCAAACUUGUUGUAAUAUGUACAACAGUCUGAACUGAUUCUAUUGUAUCCAAGGUUUAUGAUGAAUGGAUCAAAUCUCUUAUAUCAACAUCUCGGUGCAUGUUUGAGAUCGUAUAGAGAUUUGUUUAACUUGCAAACCAAGUGUCCCUUUUUAGUAAAACCUUCUAGUUAGAGCAUAGAAAUCUUUUCUUCAAGUUCUCCAUAAAGAAAUGAAAUUUUCACAUCUAACUGCUCCAAAUAUAGGUCAAAUGUAGCACACAUCGACAAGACCACUCUGACUGUCCUGAGUCAAAUCACUGGAGAAAAUAUCUCAUUGAAGUUAAUACAUUCUUUCUAAGGAUAUUCUUCCAUCACCAAUCUUUCAUGAUACCGCUCCACUAGGUUAUUACCAUCACGUUUGAUCUUAUGGACCCAUUUCCAACCAAUGGGUCUUUUUUUUUUCAUAUAGUAGUAGUACGAGUUCCUAUGUCAUAUUCUUGUGUAGAGCCUUAAUUUCUUCCUGCAUUGCUAUCAUUCACAAAGUAACAUCUGAGCUGUUUAAGGUUUCAUGAAAAGUUGAUGGCUUUCCAUUCUCUAUUAAAAGACAGUAUGCAAAAUUGAUAUCUAUGACAUAAUCCAAAUGCCACACUGACAAUUAUCUAUCACGAGUUGACCAACAAACUUUUGGGGCCUCAGACUCGAUUGGUUCUUGUUCUCAUACUUUGGUGCUGUUUCAAAAAAAUCUAAAUCUUCAUUUUCCAAAUUAUUUUCAACAUAUAUUAGCACAAUCUCUGAAUUUUUAUAGUGCUAUCAUCCAUAUCUCUCUUUUGCAUUUGAUCUUCUACAAAGAUAAUAUCUCUACUGAUAACGAUCUUAUGGGCAUUGAGGUCCCACAGAUAAUACCCUUUCACUCCAUCAAUAUAUCCUAAGAAGAUACAUCUCUUGGAUUUUGGAUCCAUCUUUAAUCUCACUUGGGUAUUGUAUAUCACGUAAAAGGACAUCAAAAUGCCUAAGAUGAGAGUAAUCAACUGGCUUUCCUGUCUAUUUUUUCCAUUGGAAUUUUCAACCCGGUUGCAUUGAAUGAUGACCCACUUACCACAUAAUAAGUAGUUUUUGCUACUUCCGCCUAGAAUGAGUUGGUAGACCAGCAUUUCUCAACAUAACUCUUUUUUUUUUUAUAAGAGUCAUGCCCUUUCACUCUACUACUCUAUUUUAUUGAGGAGUGUAUGCCACCGUGAACUAUCUCUAGAUACUUUCUUGCUUACAUAUGCAAGAAACAUGCUAUUUGUAUACUCUCCACCAUUGUCUGUCCUCAGGCACUUGAUCCCUUGCCCUGAUUUAAGUUCAAUCUACGCUUUGAAUUCUUUGAACAAUAGAAAUACAUUUGACCUUUUCUUGACUGGAUACACCAAAUAUCUCCUAGAAUAAUCAUCAAUAAAAGUCACCAAAUACUUUGCACCUCCCAUAGAUAUAUCAAUUGAUUCCCAAACAUUAGAAUGAAUCAAGUCUAAAAUACAUUUACUUUUGAAAGUGGAUCUGCUAAACUUUCAUCUAUGUUGCUUCCUUGUUUUGACAUGUGGCCAAGUUUAAGAUGCCACAUCAUCACUGAAUUUUCUCUAUUUGAUGUGACUGACACAAAAGCUUUCUGUAGUGUUUCCCUUUAAGCAUGAAUAAAUUAUCACCGAUCUUUUCCACCUUCAUUAAUGCAAGUGCGCCUUUGACUAUCUUUAUGAUCCCAUUUUCUACAUGAGUUUUGUGCACAAGGCUAUCUAUUUGUCCUAAAGACAAGAGAUAUUUUUCAAGUCUUUGACAUGUCUUACCUUCUCAAUUGUGCGAACCAUACCAUUAAACAUAUUUAUUUUGACAGUACCAAUAUCAGUAAUCUCAAAGGCAUAAUCAUCACCUAUGUAUACAAAUUCUCUUGAAAUAGGUUCAUAUUUGUGAAAUCAUUCUCUUGGAGAGAUCAUGUGCCAGGCAACUAUUAAGUCUAUAAGCCAGAUGUCAUAUAGUGGUUUUCUAUCUUCUGAAGCAGUUGUUGCCUUACUGUAAAGAAUUUUGCCAUCAUACGAGGUACUUACUACAUACCCUUGAGCAUUUGAUGACUCAGAAUCUUUACCAUCUCUUCUCUUCUAGUUGUUCCAAAACUCUUCCUUGACAUGCCCUUUCUUGCAACAGUUGUUGCAUUUGACAUUCUUUUUACUUCUAGAUUUUGAUCUACCGUGACUGUGGCUCUCACUAGGGCCACGUUCCAUGGAUCUUCCUUUCAUCACCAAUAGCGCUUCUACUUGUUGCGAACUCUUUUGUCUAUCUUUUUUAUUUUUUGCUACUCUCCUCAUUUAAUACGGAGGCUGCCAUAUUGUCAAAGACUAACUUGUUUGCUCGAUUGUUAUUAGUUAUAUUAAUGACGAAUUGAUCAUACGAAUCUGGUAAACCUUGAAGUAAAAGCUCUAUAUGUUUAUUUUCCUCUAUUUUAUGACCCAACGUUGUAAGUUAUGAAAAUAAAGUCUUUAAAGUGUUGAUAUGGUCGAUCACUGAUGUAGAUUCCUCCAUUCGAAGAGUAUAAAGCCUCAUCUUUAAGAAGAUUUUAUUUUGUAGUGAUUUGACCUCGUAUAGUCUUGUGAGAGUAAACCAUAUUUCCUUUACUCUCUUUUACUCUACCAUAUUGAAAAAUACCCUAUCUGAAAGUGGUAAGUGUAGAUAUGCAAUGGCAUUAUUGUCUAUCUCAUUCCACUUGCCAUCAUUAGUUAUCUUUGUGAGCCUCUCUUCAAUUGCUGCCAAGCAAUUACUUUUCCUCAAUACAACCUUCAUCUUCAUUUUUCAUGACGAAAAAUUAUUUUUGUUGAACUUCUCAAUUUUGUAUUUUUCCGCCAUCACUUUUCACCACGAGCUACCUUUGCUAAGAUCGAUUCCUACCAUUUCACAUGAGCAGUAACUGUAUAUAUGAAUAAAGUGUCGUAUACAGAAACAAUAUCAUAUACAUGAACAAUACAAUAUAUGUAAACAGUAUCUCGACCCCAAAAAAUACAACCCGGCUCUAAUACCACUAUUAGAAAAUUGAUUGGUGAAGUAGGGCCACGACUAAAAUGAAAUUGGAAGAAAAUGAAGAACAAGCACACAGAGGACACCAUAAAUUAUUUGAAGAAAAGAAUAGAAUGAAUGAAAUGAGGGGGUGAACCCCUCUAUUUAUAGCUAAAAAUUUGGCACUUUUUAUAUUUAUUAUUAUUAUUAUUUCAAAAUUUAAAGUUUGAACUUGAUAUUCAAACUUUGAAUAUCAAAAGAUACGGGUUGUUCUUCUAGAAGAACGGCACCAACCUUGACUCUUAGGCAGACCUUUAGAGCUUUAAAUAAAGAAAAAGCUUUUAAAAAUGCCAUGUGUACUUGAUUAUACAAUAAUCUCCACCACAUAGAGUGAUUUGAUAAAAGAAAAUUUUUAUUUUUAAUUUUACUUUUAUCAGGCAUGGUGCAUUUCCCCUUGGGCUCACAUGUAAAUACUUUUAUCAGGCACGGUGCAUUUCCCCUUGGGCUCAUAUGUAAGGAUGUCAAUAAGAUGGGAAGGAGAGGGGAUUGAUUUCCCCAUACUCAUCUUUAAUACUCUGUCUAUCUCUUUGUACUCUAGACAUUUCCUUCAAAAUCACUUGAAAGAAGGGGAUGGAUGUUUCUAAAUAAUACAAAGGGAUCUCCGAUGCUAUCCGAUCUCUGAUUAUUUAAUUUCUUUUUUUUCUUAAUUUAAUCAUCUUAAAGUAAAAAUAUAAAAUCAUAUUAACACAAAAAAUAUCAAAUUAACUAAAGUGAUUAAAAUCAUUUCCAUCAAAUUAAGUCAAUGUCAUCAAAUUAGAAGAUAAUCUUUGAACUAAUUAAGCAAAAGUAAAUCUUCAAAGUUGAACUCAUCCAUAAAUGUCAUAUAGUAUAAACCAUCAAUUAAAUUAUCUUUGUCAAUUUUAAAGUGUUUAUAUUUACUUUAUAUUGGCUGUUAUUUAUAUUAUUUUUAUAAAUGUAUUGUGAUAUUUUUUAUUUACAUCACACUAUUAUAAUUGAAAUUUUAAAUGUAUUUACUAUAAAUUUGAAAUAAAUUAAUUAAAAAUAGAAUGUAUUUACUAUAAAUUUGAAAAAAAAAUGAAUUAAAAAUAAAAACUAAAGAUAAAAAUAGAAAAAUGUGGAGCCAAAUAAAAUAUUAGGGCAAACACUAAGUUAUAUUUCAUGUAACUUACACCCACACAUAUUAAUUGAUCACAGAAAUUAUACACCCACACAUAUUAAUUUAUCAGAUUCUUGUCUCCACAUAGAAAAAUUAGAUCUAAAAUUAUCAAACUCCCGAAUGAGGAAGAUCCCUCGGGGCCAUCGUCCCUGUGGAAAUUUCUGCAUCCCUGCAGUCUACAACGCCUAAUAAUGAAUUGAACGGUUGAAAUCCCUCUAAAUUUUUGAUAAUUUCUAAUCGCCCCUCCAUAUUUGAUUGAACAUCAAAACUAUUGAGUCCAAAUUUAUAACUUUGAUUUAUCUUCCAUUCCAUAGUUUUCAAGUUCUCUCUCUCUCUCUCUUUUAAUCCUUUUUACUGCAACCACCAUCAAAGCCUAGUAGUUAAUAUGUAUGCUGCUUUGCUUUCAAAAUCGGACACUACUGGUAUUUAUGGUUUUUAUUCUUUAUUUGACACAAAAUUUGGCGAUAUCUCCGCGGAAAAACACUACUGGUGUAUUCAAUUUUAUCCGGUAAUGAUUAAAUUGAUUAUUACAUGAACCGUAACUUCGCCAAGCCCAAAAUACAUAUUAAGUUAUAAAGUGUUGGCACUCAUUAUUUUUUGCAAAAAGUUUCGCCCAAAAUACAUAUAUAUUUUUUAAUUUUUUAUUUGACACAAAAUACUGACAAUUUUUUCUGUGAAAAAAAACUACUGUUAAAGACGCAUUAAUAAAAAAUGUCAAAAUGCAUAGAAAGAGCAGACACACGGAUGAUGAAUUUACUCAUCUUUAUUAGUAUUUGAACUUGAGAUGGAAACCGGAAGUCCUCCGCACAUAAACUUUGAAGAAACUGGAAAACGACUUUAUUCCAGAUAAUGCACACCAGAGUGACCAAAAUUCUCUUCAGUAACUAUAGAGAAAAUAUUAUUUUGCAUGCAUUUCACGUAACUGGAUCAAACUACUCCCCUGUUGGUUUAUCAGACCACAUUUUUAUGGUGCAAUAUAAACCAUCUUUUCAAAACACUUUUACAAUGUGAGAAAUAUAGGCAUUAAGUUUCAUAAACUAAAAACUCCAAUUGUCCAAAAAAAAAAAAAGGUGAGAAACUCAGUAGAAUUUACAACUUCUCAGACUCACGAAAAGGUGAGAAACAAAUGAUUUUUAUAUAGUUGUUCAUAGCUAACUUUUGGGGGUUUAAUGAUUUGUACAUUUUGUUUUAUGUUAUUCAAGGAAAGAUAUUCUGCUGUACCGUACAUCUCAUAGGCAGGGGCAUAUAUGCAUGAUUUGAUAUAAUUCUUGCAAUUUCUAAGUACUUGCUCUUUCCAUACCUUCUAAGUUUUGAAAGAAAGGUUGAAAUAAACAGAGAAACAGGACAAACAGAAGAAGACUGAAUUAACAGAUCAACAAAGAUGGCAACUAACAAAUGGAAAAGUUCUCUUGUAAUCAAACUAUAGCAAACAGAUGACACCAUUACCAUAUAUCUUAAUGAGUAGAUUGAUUCUAAACAUAUAUGUUAGGAUACAUUUGGUUGUUUAAUAGUUCGAAAUAAAGAGGAUGAGAUGGUUUCCACAUAAAAGUGCUGGGCCUUUCAAUGACAUUUUCAAGGAAUUAUAAAAUUCAAAAUUAAAAAAAAAUAGCACAUUAUAAAGCCACACCGUCAAAUAAAUAAAUAAAUAAGUGAAGACCAAACUAAGUCACUAAGACCUUUAAUGAUAUAAAAUAAGCAUAUAAAUCUCAGAACAAAACAUUAAAACUCAUUCUAAAAGUAAAAAUAAACUAGUGGUGUAUUCCAAACAAUUUAGAUGAAGCGAUAAAACAAGCCAAGAAAUCAAAUAAAAUGAAAUGAAAUUGAAUUACCUGGGACUUUGUUUUUCAAAUUCACAACUCGCUUGUAAUUAAAGUAAAAUGCCAAUGCCAUUAGGACAUAUACAUCAUUGAAUAAGAUGAGGACCCCUCCAACAGCUGAAAGUAAAAUUUUCAUUCAUUAGUUUCAAUUAAAAGUAAAGCACGCAGAGAUUUGCAGGGAAGCAAGAGAUUUAAUAAAUUUAACAACAGCAAUUUAAUUUGACAGGACUUCCAUACAGUAAUGAAGUUAAAAACUAACGAUUAACGAAAUUUUGUAAUUGAAUGAAUAAGAUUCUCUGAUUUUGGAUAAUUGAAUGAAUAGGAUUCUCUAACUCUUGUGAAAAUAUCAAUUUUAAAUAGGGUAGAGUUUCAAGAAUUAAGCACAUAUGUAUCCCAUCUGCCAGUACGUGAUCAUAAACUUACUUUAUAACAAAUAUCUGAUCUAUUUGGUGCAUUUUAUUUAAAAGAGAAAUUUUAUAAAAUUUUUCCACUGGUGAUAGUGAGUUAUUCGUACCUUCUCAGCAUGUAAAUGCUGUAUGAUUGUGUUAAGAUCAUUAUUAGCCCAAGGCUGUUGAUCGUCUCUCUCUCCAUAGUAGAAGUUUACUCUGAGAGGCGCGUUUAAUUCUCCUUUAGUGAAAAUCUUCAUCUUGGGACAACCAAUUAUAGAUAAAUCUUCCAAAGAUGGGAAUUUGAAGGUGUAAUUGGCAGAGCAGAAACUUGUGAGACUAUCCAAAUCAUACAGAUACAAAAUCUUCAAUUUGGUGAAAACAAUCUCUUCUUCAAAAUUUGCUGCUCCAUCUUCGUCAUUUAUCACCACCUCUCUCAUUGCUCUGCAUCCAUAUACCAACAUUGAUAAGAGUCGCUGUAGAGUUUGGAGUGACAGAUUCGAUAAUGAUCAACUCCAAAUACUGGCCAAGAUCGCAAAUCAAACAACCAAGAUGCAAAAAGAAUCAAUCCAGAACAAAUCACAGAGAAACUUAAGAACCGAAAAGAAUUAAAGAAUUAGCAGCAAAGACAAAAGAAUUAACAGAUUUUGACAAUAAUGUACAUUUAGAAUUUCAAGGCAUUGAACAAAGGAGUCCAAUUUGGAGUCUUGUUUCCACAAUUGCUUCAGAUGAUUAAAUUUGUGCAGAUCUAAAUGUUUUAUCAUUGUAAACUUCCUCACAUGUUUCUUCAAGUAUCCUCCAUUCGAAAAUACCUCUUCGCAUGAACAACGACGCCGUAUGAGAGUUUCCAGAUUAUGAAAUCUCUCAAGUAAAUCAAGUGGAAAACAAGUUGAGUCAUCAUCCACUGUUUGUAGUAGUUUAAGACUGCCAAAAAGGUGUUGUGGGAAAUCGCUCUGCAAAGUCAUCCUCGAGUCUUUUCCACUUAAUGCCAGUUGGGUAAGCUCUGAUCAUCAUCAAUCACGUAAUAACUUAUUAAGUCAAUUCAUAUUCUCUCAAAUAACUUUUAAUAAUCCAAUCAUACACAGUGACUUUAAUAUAAAUCAUAAUAAUUUACAAAAAAGAAGAAAAAAUCGAAUUAGAGGUAAAAGUUAUUCUACGAUUUUAUUUUUUAUAUAUAUCUUGCAUGCUAUUCCCAAGAGCAAUCCCAAACGGCCCUUAAAGCAAUUUUACAAAAGCGGCCGUUACAUAUAUUGCCAACUUUGUUGGGAAUGGCAAUGGGGAGAGGAGGGGAAGAGACCGAACUCCCCGUACCCAUUCAUGAUAUUCUGCAUAUAUCCUCGUCCUCUCCUCAUUUCUCACAAAAUUGCUUUAGGAAAUCCCCCUCCCCUCCCCAAAUAAUAAUAGGGGAUCCUUGAAGGCCCUCGAUCCUCGAAUAACUGAUACGUUUUUUGUUUUAAAUUUUAAUUUAAUCAUAUUAAAAUAAAAAAUAAAAAUAAAAAUAAAGUUUGACGAUAUAUCUUAUAUUAACAUUAAUCUAUUACAAAAGUCACAUUACAAAGUAUAAAUCACCAUAAUAAUUAUCUUCGGCAAUCUUCAAAAUCAUAUAAUAAAAAAAAGAAAUUACUUUUAUAUCAACAAUGAGAUAAAUGAAAUGAAUAUAGAUACUUAAUCAAUAUUUCUAAUAAAAGUAUUUACCUCUGCGUCUCCUACUCUUCUUGUUCUUCCUCGAGGAAUGUGACAAAUUGAGAGAUAGCCUCAGAUUUCAAAUUUAAAACAACAAAAAUAAUAUAAGUAAUGUAAAUUCUAAGUGAAAAUAUUAAUAAUUAUAUAAUAUAAUUACAAUGUAAAAUAAACUCAUACUGCCAUUGUAAGCUUGUAGUCAACUUUGACAACAUAUUAAAGCCUCCAAUGUGCUUGAAUAAAGCGUGUUACGGUACUCUACCACUGGUGCUAAAAGCUAAUUCAGAAGCAACAUUUGUAAUUAGAAUUGCCAAAAUAUCUCUAGCAAUUCAUGCCAGUAUAGGAUAUCUAUAGACAUUUAUUUUACACCAACUCAAAAUAUUAAAAUCUUUCAUCCUAAGCAUAACUUUCUCAUCCAAAUAUUAAUGUAGUCAAUUAGGCCUAAAUUUUAAUAAUAUAAUUAUUUUAUUUUUUUUUAUUUAUACUAAUAUUUAAUAUUUUAUUAUUUAUUUACAAAUAAUUUUAAAAAAUAAAAUUAAAUCAAAAAAUUAGAAGAGAAUAGGGAUUCUGCCGAUCCCCGUUCUUUCUCUGAAUAAGAAAUUAGGUAAAAAAACUAUCUCCGUCUCCUUUUCAAAUAAAAAAUUAAGUAAAAAAUUAUGUACCCACCUGAAUUGGGAAAAUCUCGAGGGUCAUGUCCCCGCGGCAAUAUCUGCCAUUCCUAAACUUGUAACAGCCAGUUGCUUUUGUGACCGUUUAUGUGACGGCUAGACUGCUCUCACUUAUGUUACUAACCACGUGACGGUAGAGAGUGACGGUAGAGAGUGACGGUAGAGUUAUAAAUUUGUUUCUAAAUAGAAAACUAUUUGCUGGAGUCAAUAUUUUGAAGACCAAAGUCCCAAAUUCUCUCUCGUGCCUGGCCAGCAUCCUAAACCUUACUGGUAGCCGGAGAAUGGCGUAAAACGGCAGCGAUCUUCUUCUUCAUCUUAUUCUCUCUCUUCGUUUCAGGUAAGCUUGUGAUUAUGAGUUUCCUCUCUUUCUUAGCUUGUAAUUAUAGGUUUUGAUCUCUUUACUUCGUAUUGUAGCCAUUAAUGUCAAUUUUUGUCCCACCGGCAAUGAGAAAAAAUCGAAUUAGAGGUAAAAGUUAUUCUACGAUUUUAUUUUUUAUAUAUAUCUUGCAUGCUAUUCCCAAAAGCAAUCCCAAACGACCCUUAAAGCAAUUUUACAAAAGCGGCCCGUACAUGUAUUGCCAACUUUGUUAGGAAUGGCAAUGGGAAGGGGAGGGGAAGAGACCGACCUCCCCGUACCCAUUCUCGAUAUUCUGUAUAUAUCCCUGGCCUCUUCCCAUUCACAAAAUUGCUUUAGGGAAUCCCCCUCCCCUCCCUAAAUAAUAAUAGGGGAUCCUUAAAGGUCCUCGAUUCUCGAAUAACUGAUACGUUUUUAGUUUUAAAUUUUAAUUUAAUCAUAUUAAAAUAAAAAAUAAAAAUAAAAAUAAAGUUUGACGAUAUAUCUUACAUUAACAUUAAUCUAUUACAAAAGUCACAUUACAAAGUAUAAAUCACCAUAAUAAUUAUCUUCGGCAAUCUUCAAAAUCAUAUAAUAAAAAAAAAGAAAUUACUUUUAUAUCAACAAUGAGAUAAAUGAAAUGAAUAUAGAUACUUAAUCAAUAUUUCUAAUAAAAGUAUUUACCUCUUGUGUCUCCUACUCUUCUUGUUCUUCCUCGAGAAAUGUGACAAAUUGAGAGAUAGCCUCAGAUUUCAAAUUUAAAACAAUAAAAAUGAUAUAAGUAAUGUAAAUUCUAAUUAAAAUAAACUCAUACUGCCAUUGUAAGCUUGUAGUCAACUUUGACAACAUAUUAAAGCCUCCAAUGUGCUUGAAUAAAGCGUGUUACGGUACUCUACCACUGGUGCUAAAAGCUAAUUCAGAAGCAACAUUUGUAAUUAGAAUUGCCAAAAUAUCUCUAGCAAUUCNNNNNNNNNNNNNNNNNNNNNNNNNNNNNNNNNNNNNNNNNNNNNNNNNNNNNNNNNNNNNNNNNNNNNNNNNNNNNNNNNNNNNNNNNNNNNNNNNNNNNNNNNNNNNNNNNNNNNNNNNNNNNNNNNNNNNNNNNNNNNNNNNNNNNNNNNNNNNNNNNNNNNNNNNNNNNNNNNNNNNNNNNNNNNNNNNNNNNNNNNNNNNNNNNNNNUUGAAAACCAAAGUCCCAAAUUCUCUCUCGUGCGUGCCUGGCCAUCCUAAACCUUACUGGUAGCCGGAGAAUGGCGUAAAACGGCAGCGAUCUUCUUCUUCAUCUUAUUCUCUCUCUCAUCGUUUCAGGUAAGCUUGUGAUUAUGAGUUUCUUCUCUUUCUUAGCUUGUAAUUAUAGGUUUUGAUUUCUUUAAUUCGUAUUGUAGCCAUUAAUGUCAAUUUUUGUCCCACCGGCAAUGUUUUUUGUUCCUAGAAGUUGAAGCCCUUCUGUUCUUGUGCCAUUGGUGAGUUUGCUCACUCAAAUUAAUUUUGUUCUGCGGAGUUUACAAAGUUCAAAUGGAUUCAUUUGGAUUACUAUUGAAUUUAGCUUUCAUUUCAACAUUCAUUCUAAUGUUUUACAAUCAUGUAUUUAGAUUUACUUUUAUUUUAUGUUUAAAGCUUCCACAAUGAAUAGCGGAGCUUGGGUUUUAGUUUCAUUUUCUAAUUAACUUGUUUUAGUUUAUCUUAUAUGCUCGCCAAGUGCUUGUUAUAUUGUCUGAUAAGUUAUAUAACAUUGCUGAUUCUAUAUUAGUAAUGUCAUGUUCCAUUUUCGGAAAUUAUAACACAAAAGUUUUUACAAUGGCUUGCAUCUACAAACUGAAUUGACUUGUAGAGUAAGAGCUUGGAUUAGUGUUAUGUUCUUGAAUAAAUGAAAGUUCAUAUUGUGUAAGAGCAUGUAGAUGUAAAGCAUCACUACCAUUUCUACAAAAUGCUUUCAUUCUGUUCAGAUGCUCCUCUUGAACUUUGAAAGGUGCCUCAUUCAAGUCCUAGCUAUAACUACUAGCUCUGAUUGCUUAAGUUCCUGUGCUAGCUGAAACAGAUUUAUUUAAUUAAUUAAUUGUGUAUGUACUAAUUAUAUUGAAAGUAUAUGAAGAAAUUGUUUAACAUGAAUGACUUCUAAAUGACUUAAAAGCCUAAAGGAUAUGUGAAAUAAUGCUCAUUUCACUUGAACGAGCCUAUUAAUACUUGUAUGUCUAUGAUUGUCAAUCUUGCUUAAGUGUUUCAGUUAAGUGGUUUACCUAACAGGGAAAAAAAUUUAAUGGAAAACUUUAGAGUUCUAACAGAAAUAUAGUUGACUGCAGAUAUAGUUAUUUUACAGUACAUAAAUCAUAUUGUCCUAUUCUCAAUGUCCUGCGACCUAUUUUAUUUUAUAUGGUCAUUCAUUUUUGCGAUGGUUUUUUGUGCUUAUGAGUAUGGAAAUAGUGGGAUUUAGAGUGGCAAACAAAAAUAUACAUAUAAUCAAGUUUCUUAAUCAUGUAUAUUGGUUUUGGGUAUGAAUGUUUUCCUAUUCUAGUUCUAGGCAAAGUUUCUUCAUUUUGGUCUUCAGAUUUCCAGUAGGUUAAGUUAAGCAACUAUCAUAACUAGCUAGCUAGUUAUUGCCUGCCUUGUCGCCAUUACCGACGCCAUUACAUUGCAUGGCAUAAGGAAUAGUAACUAGGUGAUUAUUGGUGAUUCCUUGAGUUUAUUAUUGGCCAAACAAACAUAUUCGCCUUUACCCACAACUUAGUUUGAUUAGUUAUUAGAUAAUAAAGAGCCUUAAUCUAUGCAUUGCUUUAUUAUUUUUAUUUGGUUUUUCUUUCAACAAUAUUGUUGAUUUCUUAUAAACAGUACUAGUAGUGAAAAAAUGAUGACAACAACAAAAAUAGAAAAUUACAAGACUGCUGAUAAAAUUUCAUUUGCAUGCAUGUCUGACAAAAUUUCCGUGAUUUAAUGUGCUUUCAUGAACGCAAGUCCUAACGUUUCUGUGAUCACAAAAUGAAACUGAAGAUAAAACAGAACAACUACCAAACCUUUCAAGCUUGACGAAGCCAUGAGAAUUGAUAGCUCAGGCAGAAGUAUUUUAAUAUGAAUGACUUAAAACUUAUUGCUCAGUAAACAUAAUGUGCAUCAGUGCUAGAAAAUGUAUUUAUUGUUUGUAAUUUUUUAUGGUUUUGCUUAAGAAAUGAAAUGUGAAAAAAUGCUACAUUUUAUUAGGAAUAAAUUGAAGAGAUUUAUGAUUUUUAUGUGUUAUUCAAGUUUCAGAUUCAAUUUUAAACUUUUGAUACAUGCAUUGAAAGCUUAAACUCCUUUAAGAAAUUAUUAAUAGACACAUGUUUUAUUAGUGUCAUCUUUUGGAUGAUAGUGAGGAUCUUAUGUCUAUUAAUAAUUCUUGAAUUAUCUAGGCUUGGACAGUUUGGUAAUGCAUAGAUUUCUAUGGUAGCUAGUGCCUGAAAUUUUUUUCCCACGUAAAAAUGGGUUUUUCAGCAGCUGCUCCUCAUGUUCUCUGGGUGCAUACUAGACAAAUGGGUGUCAUGUAUUGUUUUGGCAUAACACAUAAACACUCAUAUAUCUAUGUCGUUGCUUGGAGAACUAAAGGGAGAUGCUGCCGAAAUUUCUAUAAACGUAGAAGAAAACUUUAAAGUACUUGAGAUUGAAGAAACUUAUGCAUUCUUGAGAGGGAUAUACGGGACCACUUACCUUUUGUAAAUAUGAAGGGAAUGUUGGAUAUAUUGAUGGGAGUGGAGGAGCUGAGUGGGAUGAAUGUAAUCGGUUAUGAUUUUGCUGAGUCGACUUGGUUUUGAGUCUUGUAAUUUUUUUUAUAAAUGGAGUACUAUCUCCAAUGUUGGUUUAUAAAUAUGUUUCAGCUGGCUGACCUAAUUUUUUGUUUCUAGGUAACAGGCUUUAUAUAUCUGUAAUUGAUAGCCAAGUGAAGUUCUCAGCAGUGGGUGAGGAUAUUUCUUUACAGAAGGUAUUGCAAACUGUUUUUUAGAUUAAUUAUUGUUGUAUAUAUACUUUAAUUUUCACAUCUUUUUCUCUGAUUCUUGUGGCUUUGCUUGCUUCCAUAUAUAUAAACGUUCUAAUGAGAUUAACCAUAAAAUUGUAUAAUAAUUUUUUUUAUUAUAUUGCGAAACUGCGCACACAUGAAAAUAUCUUGUUUAGUAGUAGAAAUGAAGAAUUAAAGUGAUUUAUUUAACUAAUUUUUCUAGUGCAUUAAAAGGACAUAGUCAUGGACCAGAGUUGGGUUGGUUUGCCAAAUAGAUAUCCAAUUCAUAUAAAAUUUAUAGAUUUUGCAUUUGAGAAUGUUGUUGGUGAUAAAAGAAUUUAUUGUCCUUCUAAGAAGUGUCGUAAUAUCGAUAUUUCCUUAUAAGGAAAGUGGCAAGAGACCAUAUCAUUAUAAAUGGCUAUUGGUUAAAGUAUUAAAACUGGAUAUUGGAGGGUGAGCCAUCUUCAUCUUUGAAAUCUAACUAAGAAACAGGUUAGUCAUGACUCGGGUAGUGAUGCUAGUAUGGUUGGAAUGAUGCAUAAUGCAUCACAUAAUCAAAUGUUCAAGUCACACGCAGCAUUGUUAUGGACUAUCUCCGACUUUCUAGCAUAUGCCAACUUGUUUGGGUGGAGUAUUAAAGGUAAAUAAGCAUUUCUUGUUUGCCAACAAAACACUAGAUCUAAUUGGUUGAUACAUAGUAGAAAAUUGUCACGUGGGUCACCGUCGAUUUUUACCAACAAAUCAUAGGUUCCGAAAAUAUAGUGCCAUCUGAUAAAACUAGAGAGUGGGGACAAGCACCUUCUCGGUUGUCUGGAGCUGAGGUGAAAAAGCAGUUCAGUAAUGUACUUACUGAGUAUAAGAUUGAAGACUUGAAAAGAGGAGAAUGAAUAAAAUAAAAGAAAUGAUAAGAUUACUUGGAAGAAGAAAAGCAUUUUUUAUGAACUAACGUAUUGGGAGUUCAAUUUGAUUCAUCAUAAUCUUGAUGUCAUGCACCGUUUUGAUUUUUGUUAUGAACUCAGAUCAAAAGUUUAAUGUGAUCAAAAUUUCUUAAAAAUAGUGAAAACGACUCCUCCUAAUAAUAUGGAAGAUGGCUAUAAAAGAUAAUUUCUUAAAAGUUUAAUGUGAUCAAAAUUGCUUGUGAACGCAAGGGUUUUAGUUACACUGUCAACGCUGUCAAUGUAGUGAUACAAUGAAGAUGAAGUAAAGCAUUAGUAGAAUAAUGAAGUUGACCAGUAACACAGUAAAGCAAAUUUUAUUCCAGAGCAUGAAAACUUUUAAACAGUAACACAGCUCUUAUUCCAGAGGCUGCACGCGAGUGACCUGAAUCUUCUUCAGAACUUUCAAAUUUUAUCAAGCAAAGCUUUCAAAAUCCUUGCCUUCCUAAGUUAGGAAAGAUAGAUGUGGAGCAAACUAUUUUUUUUAGAUAUUUUCACUUUGGGCUGUCAGCCCGAGGAAGUAGGGGGGUCUGAGUUAUUCAACUGAAAAUGUCGGCCAAGUUCUUGUGUUAGUUUUAGUAUAUUGUGUAAAAAUGAUACACUAACUUGAAUUUAUAUGCUUUUAUGACUAUUUGAUAAUCAAAUGGGUAAAUGACACGAAGAACUUUGAGUUUAAAGAGUGUAAUUAAUCUCAAAUAUCAACAUUAUAAAUUAUGAGUGUAAUUGAUUGGGUAAAUACUCGUUUAAUCCCUAAAUUUUGAUAUAAGUGUCCGUUUAAUCUCCAAAUUUUAAAAAGUGCGUAAAAACACUCUUAUUGUUCAAUAUGUUACAUUCUUAUCAUUGUUUGUUUCUUUUCUUUUACAAUAAUAAUAUUGCAACAAUAUUCUUGACAUUAAUUAAUUUAUUUAUAAAAAAAUUAAUUAGCAAAUUAACCAAUAAAUAUAAGUGUGAAAGAACUAAUAUUUUUUGUAGCACAUGCCAACUUGUCUGAGUGGAGUAUUAAAGGUAAAUAAGCAUUUCUUGUUUGCCAACAAAACACUAGAUCUAAUUGGUUGAUACAUAGUAGAAAAUUUUGUCACGUCGGUAACGUCGAUUUUUACCGACGAAUCAUAGGUUUCGAAAAUAUAGUGCCUUUUGAUAAAUCUAGAGAGUGGGGACAAGCACCUUCUCGGAUGUCUGGAGCUGAAGUGAAAAAGCAGUUGAAUAAUAUCCUUACUGAGUUUAAGAUUGAAGACUUGAAAAGUGGAGAAUGAAAAAAAUGAGAGAAAUGACAAGAUUACUUGGAAGAAGAAAAUCAUAUUUUAUGAACUACCGUGUUGGGAGUUCAAUUUGAUUCAUCAUAAAAUGUGAGACAUGAGGGAGAGACAAAAGCUCAGGCUUGUCUGCAACCAUGUGGGCCCUCAUAAGCAAUUCGUGUACACAACUUGGUUCACCAAGCCCAACAACUUGAAGCAGGCAAAAUCCGGGAACGAUCCUUCUCCUUCGCAACCCUAGCUGCCUUAACCUUGUAUUUCUGAUAUUUAGUUAAAGAGUAAGAAGAUUGCUCCUCUGUCAAUUACCUUCGAGAGAGACUUUCUUUUUCAUUCACCGAUGCUUGCUUGUGAAAGCAAGGGUUUUAGUUACGCUUUCAACGCUGUCAAUGUAGUGAAGUUAAGCAUUCGUAGAAUAGUGAAGUAAAGCAUUCGUAGAAUAAUGAAGAUGGAAGCCCCACAGCAUGAAAACUUUUAAACAGUAACACAGCUCUUAUUCCAGAGGCUGCACGCGAGUGACCUGAAUCUUCUUCAGAACUUUCAAAUUUUAUCAAGCGAAGCUUUCAAAAUUUCUCAACAAAUUGAUUAUUUGGUGUGGUUGCCACAUUUUGAGUAACCGCUAUUUGUUCUCAAGUACAAAAUCCUUGCCUUCCUAAGUUAGGAAAUAUAAAUGUGAAGCAAACCAAAUGAAAUAAAUGGGUAAACAGAACAAGCAGGGCAAAAAUUAAAAAUGAUGGCAAUUAACAAAUUAAUAGCAAUGUUACAUUUGACUCUUUAGCCCUUUGUUCCUUCUCUUAGCAUUCUUCAAAGGUUUUGAAAAUAGGACGUGAAGCAAACAAAAUAAAAUAAAUUUAGACAACACAUGCCCUGUAUUCAGCAUCAUAUAUAUCUCGCAUAUCUAAUAUAAUAAAUUUCACAUCUAAAAUACUAGAAUUUCAAACAGAAUAUCUAAUAAUAGUAAAAAAAUGACGACAACAACAAAAAUAGAAAAUUACAAGACUGCUGAUAAAAUUUCAUUUGCAUGCAUGUCUGACAAAAUUUCCGUGGUUUAAUGUGCUUUCAUGAACGCAAGUCCUAACGUUUCUGUGAUCACAAAAUGAAACUGAAGAUAAACCUUUCAAGCUUGACGAAGCCAUGAGAAUUGAUAGCUCAGGCACUGAUACCAAGUUAAAGUUUCUAAUCUGUUUGGUAAGUAAGAAAAUGUGAGAAAAUGAAAGAAAGAACAGAGAUCAUCUAAGAGCUGGAUUUGAUAAGUAAAUAUGAAUCAUCCAUUCAUUAGUUGAUUGCAAAUGUAUUUAUACGAGGUUCCUGAACAUUUCAGAUUCUAUAUGCUCGAGCUAAGCACCUGAGAGUUGAGCAGUGUGCACUAACAAACUGCUAACAAAAUAACUAACUUAUGCCAGCUCAGCUAACACGUCAGUAACUCUUAACUAUCUUGCUUAACAAACUGAAACAAUAACUAACCAUUUUAACUAUCUUAACAAUCCCAAUAAUUUUUCCAUUUGUGUAUUUUUUUGAAUCAUAAUCAAAUGGGUAAAUGUUGCAACUAUUUUUUUUAGAUAUUUUCACUUUGGGCUGUCAGCCCGAGGAAGUACGGGGGUCUGAGUUAUUCAACUGAAAAUGUCGGCCAAGUUCUUGUGUUAGUUUUAGUAUAUUGUGUAAAAAUGAUACACUAACUUGAAUUUAUAUGCUUUUAUGACUAUUUGAUAAUCAAAUGGGUAAAUGACACGAAGAACUUUGAGUUUAAAGAUCUGGCCCUGAUGCCUAGUAGCCCUCCAACCCAUGAAGCACUAGAUGUUUUAAUGAGAAAACGACAAGACCAUUUAUCAAAUUUCUUGUGGAUAUAAAUACAUACAUAGAGUGAUUCAAAUCUCAAAAUACAAUAGAAAUUCAUGACAUAUAUAUAAUAAAAGACCUCUCAUUGAGUCAUAUAUAUUGAGAAUAAAAUUUUUUUAAUACAUACAAAGAGCUUAUCUAGAAUGAAAUGUAAACUUUUUUAAUACAUACAAUGAUCAAACAAAGGAAACAGACAGGUUGCAACUCACACUAUCACAGAUGUAGCGACACGAUGCAGUGAAUCACAAGAAGAUCACGAAGAUGGAAACGGGAACCCCUCAGAAUGUAAACUUUGAAUAGAGGAAAAAAGAAAAACGACCUUAUUUCAAAUUGCGCACAGAAGAAGAGUGACUUAAAUCGUCAUCAGUAUCCAAACAUUCUGCAAUCAUAGAGUAGAGAAAUUUUAACAGGAACAGUGGAGAAAAUAUUAUGAAUAUGCUAGACCAAAUUAGUCCCUUUUAACAGGAACAGUGGAGAAAAUAUUAUGAAUAUGCUAGACCAAAUUAGUCCCUUUUUGGUUUGUGAAAACUUGAUUUUUUAUGAAAUAUUUUCAAACAAUAUUUCCACAAUAUACUUGUUCAUAGCUAACAUUUGAUGGUUUAAGCAUUUGUUAUAGGAACAAUGCACUGAUUACGUUUUUUUUUAAAAAUUUUUUUAGUCCGAUGAAUGAUAUUCAGCUGUUCUUUAAUUAUGUGUUCAUAGGGAAGAACAUUUUCUAAGUACUUUCCUUGCCUUCUAACUUUCCAAGGAAAUAUAGGUGUGAAGAAAAGCAAACCCAAUGAACAAACAGAACACAAACUAAAAUAAAAGAACAGCAAUGAUGAGAAUAAAUAAUUGGCAAAGAAAGAAUGGAAAAAGUAUGCAUGUUUUCAACGAAUUAUAAAAUACGAAGGCUUUUAAUGAAAUUUUAUCAUAAAAACGUAUGCAAGGAGUUAUAAAAUUUUAGAAGACGAGGGGAGCUCCCAAAAAAAAAAAAAAGAAGAAGAAAAAGACUCAAAUUAAACUAGACUAAAAAGACAUUCAAUUAUGCAAAAUCUGUCCAUAAAAGUCUGAAGGGAUCAUUAAAAUUGCAUUGCAAAUCUAUAUCUAUCUAUCUAUAUAUCUAUAUAUCUAUAUAAAGCUAGGACUUGAGGAGGUGAUGUGGCAUCACCAUUUUGCUUCUUUGUAUAUUCUCUAUUAUCUAAUAAAUAGAGAAUUUUUUUUAGAUUUAGCUUUUCAUCUUCUCAUAAUUAAUUUGAUUGUAUUUAACUCAUUUAAUAAAUAGUAACUUUAUUAAUAUAUAUCAUUCCUCAUCUUUUUAUAUUUUCUAUUAUCUAAAAUAUCUAAAAUAUUGGUGAAUAUUCUUUGUACUUUUUUUCUCUUUCUAUUUAAAUUCAACAAUAUGUAAUCAUUAAUAAUAAUUAAUUAUAAGUCCAAUUUUAAUGUCAACAAUGCCAUUAGAGCCCAAUUUUAAUGUCAUGAUCCCAUAUUUAAUUAUUCAAUAUUUUGUUUAGUGCCUUUUGGCUUCUUCAAACUCUAUAAACAUUAAAUAUUUAAGAUUUGUGGCAUCAUUAUUUCUUCCUCUUUCUAUUUAAAUCCAACAAUAUGUAACCAUUAAUAACAAUUAAUUAUAAGUCUUUUGAAAUAUUCAUUUAUUUUAUUAUGCUAGCAAUUAAACUUUAGUUGCUUAAAAUACAUCAAUUAAUUAACAUAGGAAGAGGGGUUCUUUCAUCUUCCCUCAAUAAUGCAGCUAGGGCCUAAGUUUAAUUUUCAUGUCUCUUCCUCUUUCUAUUGAAAUCCAACAAUAUAUAAUCAUGAAUAAUAAUUAAUAAUAAAUCUUUUGAAACAUUCAUUUAUUUUAUUAUGCUAGCAAUUAAACUUUAGUAGCUUAAAAUACAUCAAUUAAUUAACAUAUGAAGAGAGGCUCUUUCAUCUUCCUUCAACAAUGUCAUAAGGGCCUAAUUUUAAUGCCAUAAUCUCAUAUUUAAUUAUGCAACCUUUUAUUUAGUGUCUUUUGGCUUCUUCAAAUUUUAUUAUACUAGCAAUUAAACUUUAGCGGCUUAAAAUACAUUAAUUAAUUAACAUAGGAAGAGAGGUUCUUUCAUCUUCCCUCAACAAUGCCACUAAGGCAUAAUUCUUCUUAUUCUAAAUUUAAGUUGCUUGUCAUCAUCAGCAACACAAGUCGAUUAUGAUGCAACUACCAUUAUAAUUAAUGGAGAACGACGAGUUAUCUUCUCUGGUGCAAUUCAUUAUAUUUUCGCAGUAGUCCACAAGUACUGUAUGCAAAUAAUUAAUUUACAAUUUCUCAAAUCACUUGCACUUUCACAUUUUCUUCUUCUUUUAACCAAAAAAAAAAAAGCUACUUUGUUGCAAAAAUAUUAUCUUAAUUUUUUUUCCUAACAAGCCAAACAUGAUCCCACAUUCAAAACGGUGCGCUUUCAUGUUUAGGAAAAAUUAUGGGCAAUAUUUUUGGAUCCAACAGCAUUGUUAUUCUUAAAAUAUGUAAAAUUUGACAUGAUUUAUUUCUAUAUGCAUUAUAUUUGUGCAGAUGUGGCCAGAUCUUAUACAGAAGGCAAAGGAUGGAGGGCUCGAUGCAAUUGAAACUUAUAUUUUGUGGAAUGCUCAUGAGCCUCAACGUCGUCAGGUGCCAAUUAUUAUUAUUAUUAUUUUUUUUAUUAUUAUUAUUAUUAUUAUGUGCGAUCGUUAUUAUUAUUGAAAUAAACAUACAAAAUUAACUUGUUUAAUCUUCCUUUUGAGAAGAGAUCAGAAGGUUAUCUUAAGAAAUUUGAAUUUCAUCAAAUUUUUUAUUUUUAAUUUGAUAUUUUUAAAGCCGCGCGAAGCGCGGUUCUAUUUCCUAAUUUAACAGUAAACCGAGGGACCUAUUCUAAAUAAUUAAGAUGAAAUUGCGAAACAAGCCAUGGGAUUAAAUAAAUUAAAUAAAAAUUAAUUACCAGCUGAGACUUUCUUCUAAAAAUUCGCAACUCCAAGUCAUAAGAAGCCUAUGAAAUUAGUCGUACUGCGUAGAGUAUAUCGACGACCCCGCCAACAGCUGAAAAUAAAAUUCUUAUUCAUCAAUUUAAACUUUUACUUUAUAACAAACAUUUUAUCUAUAUUUUAUUUAAAAAGAAAAAGCAAAUUUUGUAAAAAUUUAUCAUGGGAGAUAGAGAGUAAUAUGUAUAUCCGUACCUUCUCAGCAUGUAAUUGUUGUAUGGUUGUGUUUAGAUCAUUAUUAGCCCAACGCCGUUGAUUCGAUGUCUCUCCAUACUGGACGUCUACUCUCGGAGGCGUGAUUGAUUCUCCUGUAGUGAAAAUCUUCAUCUUGGGACAACCAAUCACUUCCAGAUAUUCCAAAGAUGGGAAUCUGAAGGUGUAAUUGGCAGAGCAGAAACUUGUGAGACUUUCUAAAUCACACAGAAUCAACGCCUUCAAUUUGCUGAAAACAAUCUCUUCUUUUUCAACUCCUUCUUUGUCAUUUAUUACCACCUCUGUCAUUGCUCUGCAUCCUUGUAUACGCACCGUGACGAGUUGCACUAGAGUUUUUGCUGUGCAGGAUGUUACCAAGUGUAUCAAUCCCUUGCAACCGAAAGCUACAAGUUUUGUUAGGUUCCCAAAAGAUACCGAUGAUGAUGGCAAUAGAAUUAACAGACUUUGACAAUGAUAUACUCUUAGAAUUUCAAGAUACUGAAAAAUGGGGCCAAGUUUGGAGUCUUGUUUGCACAGCUGCUUCAGAUGAUAGUGCCGGUACAGCUCUAAUUCUUUUAUCAUUGCCAACUUCCCCACAUGUUUCUCUAAGCAUCCUUCCAUCGAAAAUAGCUCUUCGUGGGAUGAAAAAUCACACAGUGUGAGUAUUUCGAGAUUGUGAAAUCUCUCCAGUACGUUCCAGAUUGGAAAACAAGCUGAGUCAUCUGCAGCAAUCUCUAGUUCUCUAAGACUGCCAAAAAGGUGUUGUGGGAAAUCGGCCUGCAAAAUCAUCUCCACGUCUUUUCCACUUAGUGAUAGUUCCGUCAAG
rnacentral:lncRNA from 1 species